GGGAUGAAGGUGGGUUGACUGACCACAGAGUACAGCAGAGCGGCCAUCCAUGACAGUCUCCGAUCAGUAAUCACCAUGGUUAACUCGACUGUAUGAGCGGCUCUAGUCCUGGUUCGACUGUUGGAGUCCACGCAAGCCGAACAAAACUACCGUUCGCUAGCUCCAUCGUCAGCAUCGAAUCAUAGGACCCACGCACGAAAAAAAUGAGUCCGCUCUUUCUCAGCACGAGUCUCAUGGGACCCACGCGACGUGGUGCUGCGCUGCCUGCUGGUGGACGACGGCAGUUGGCGUGAUUAUUUUAAUUCGUCGGAGUUCGGCUCGUCUGCAAACGUCGAUUUUGCGUCUGACAACCAACGUUCGAACGCUGCAGUGUUCUUUGUUCGGUUAGAACAGCCCACGGUUCGAUUUUGAACCACACUGGAGCUGCUCGGAAGUUUGGUUUCGGCAAAGACACAGUGCUACCACUGGGACUCUGGCUCACAGCUAGCAGUACACUGACAGCAGCUCAGAGAGGAGCGACACCUGCGACAGGCACGCAAACCAACCCGGAAAGGCUCCUACAACCCCCGAACUAACCAGCUUCUCAAAGCAUUGCAGUGCAGAGCCCGCCUGUCAACUCAAUGCCCAUACAGGAAGGGGGGGGGGGGGGGGGGGGGCACGCGCAUUCGCGAGGGACCGGAGCCACCGCAGCCGACGUGCAUUGGACUAAGCGUGCCAUUUCACUCCAAUAAGAUUUGAUUAGCGGUGGCGAUAACUGAUGACUAGCUAGUGGCCAGUGAACCUAGCAUUCCACUCGACCCCAACCCCGACGGCUCCAUCAGAGUCCAGUAAAGCCGGGACAGCGCUGCCGGAACCCACUGUUGGGACUGGAUCACUCUCCGAUCCGAUGACCCUGCCACCUCUCCCCCUGAGAUAGGACCAAGCCAACAACCGGGUCAGCUUUCCCUCUUUAAAACACGCCCAAUCAUAUGUGUCUCCUGCCCACGCACGAAUGCCCAUCACGUUACAUCACGGAUCCAAGAUUCUCAUCAUGGAUUAGGUCAACUUAAUGUUUAAUCAAGACUGUACUGCCAAACACUGAUGCGCCGAGGCAGGCCGCGCCGCUAGUCCGCUACAGCCGAGCAAUUAUUUGGGCCGGGACAGUUCAGUGUAGCGCCAAAAAUUCAGCCGAAAAGGAGGUAGAAGUCUACUGGUGGAGUCGUGGAGCGAGCGAGCGAACCGCGAAGCAUCCAUCGCUCGAUCGUCCGUUCACGGUCAGAAAGAGGCGCCGCGCACGCGCUGCCCAUGCUAAUCCAGCUGUCCCCAAGUUCCAGUUGAUCUCCGGUCACCCAGAGCUGAACACGCCUCGAACAAGUGCAGCCCGGCGAACGCGUCGCGUGCACGCAGCUACUCCUGCCCAUCAGGCCGAUCUCAUCCUGAAUUCCUGACCAGUGAUCACUAAACAAUGGCAGGCAGCAAGCCCUAUAAAAGCCCAGCUCCUCGCCAUUUCGGAAGCACACACCACCACUGAGCCUUCCAGUCAAGACACACCAGCUGUCUACUCUAGUGCCACUGCGUAGUGCUCCACUUGGUAGUUCACUCCUAGUGGAGGCGAUGGCCUCAGCAGCUUCCAGUAGCUUCCUCCGUCGGAGAACCCAUGCUCUGCUCUUGCUCCUGGCGCUUGCGCUCCUGAGCUCGGCGUGGGGCUCCGUGGCCGCGGGAGUGUCCAUGGCCAGCCCCAGCAGGAGGCUGAUGGAGCUCUACAAGCCGCCGCCCAGCGACAUGCUGAGGUACCACGGCGGCGCCGUGCUGAGCGGCGACAUCUCCGUCUCCGUCCUCUGGUACGGCCGCUUCACGCCGGCGCAGAAGGCCAUCGUCACCGACUUCCUCCUCUCCCUCUCCGCCGCGGCGCAGGGGCCUUCCGUCGCCCAGUGGUGGAGCAACAUCAACCGGCUCUACCUCUCCAAGGCGGCGGCCGCCAGCAAGAACGGCGCCCACGGCGGCGGCGCCAGGAUCGCGCGGGUGGUCCUGGCCGGGCAGGUCUCGGACGAGGGUUGCUCGCUGGGGAAGAGCCUGAAGAUGUCCCAGCUCCCGGCGCUGGCGGCGAGGGCGCGCCCGGCGAAGGUGGGCGGCGGCGUCGCGCUGGUGCUCACGGCGCAGGACGUGGCGGUGGAGGGCUUCUGCGCGAGCCGGUGCGGGCACCACGGCUCGUACGGCGGCGGCGGCGCGCGCGCGGCGUACGCGUGGGUGGGGAACCCGGCGACGCAGUGCCCCGGGCAGUGCGCGUGGCCGUUCCACCAGCCGGUGUACGGGCCCCAGGCGCCGCCGCUGGUGGCCCCCAACGGGGACGCCGGAAUGGACGGCGCGGUGAUCAGCGUGGCCAGCAUGGUGGCCGGCGCGGUGACCAACCCGUUCGGGGACGGGUUCUACCAGGGCGACCGCGGCGCGCCGCUGGAGGCCGCCACGGCGUGCGCGGGGGUGUACGGCAGGGGCGCCUACCCCGGGUACGCCGGGGAGCUGCUCGUGGAUAAGGCGACGGGCGCCAGCUACAACGCCAACGGGGCCCGCGGGAGGAAGUACCUGCUCCCGGCGCUGUACGACCCCGACACGGGUGACUGCGCCACCUUGGUGUGAGAAGAGAGCGCGCGCGCGGCGCCGUGUCUUGGCAUCCGUCAGUGGAAGAUAAAGUGACGAUGUGCUUGUGCGUCAGCGUGUGUGUAGUAAUUUGGCGAAGGUCGAAAUGGAGUGUUGUCUAAGGGUCUCAUUGGUUGGAUGCUAAAAUUUUAGCAUGUUAGAGUUUUGGCAAGCUAAAAGUUGGAUAAAAAACUUGCUAAACAUGGAAAAAAAAUUGUAAAUAGUGGUCAAAAUUUUAGCAUGCCAACAUUUUGACAUGCCAACAUUUUGACAUCAAACCAAUUAGACCCUGAAACACCAACUGGAUGUAAACUGUAUAAAAUGUGAAGUAUCUGUUUCUCAAGGGCUCUGUCUCGUCUUCUAUAACUCUGUAUUGAAUCGUGCUGGACUGUUUUCGUGCUUUGAUAUGAAAAUUCUGAAAGAUCCGAUUCUGAAUUUUGAAGUGGAUGAGUGAGCUUGAUCAGUUGGUCUGCGGGAGCGGAAGCCUGGCAUGUCCACAGGCAUUAGGCAACAUCGACGAUUUCUUUUUUAGAUAACGCGGCUACGAUUUCUUGAUCGCAGAACGUGCUAAAAGGGCCUAGAAUUUACUUGUUUGCCAGAGGAAAGCCGUACUAGAGUGGGGCCCAUUUGUGUGUAUUGUUGCCUGCCUGGCUGGUGGCAUCUGGCCGGGUGGGGGUGGUGAGCCGAGGCAAAGCCUGGCCCAAUACUACAUACCUAGUAUGAAUUCGGACUUCGGAGUUUCGAACCUUCGUUCCCUUUGUUCAUCAUCAUGUCUGCGCGUUUCGAGAAAGCCGAAACCUUUGCACUUGCCAGCCAGCUCAGGUCAACGGCUAGCAGAAAGUACGAAGUUUAUUCCAAUACACGACAAUACCACGCGACCUUUCCAUAGUGUGUCAACUACUCAAGCACCAGCCACCACCACCAGGGCUUCUCUUUGAUGCAUUUGACGUCAAACAUUUCCGAAGCGCAGUUGAUCCUCAUGCACUAGUACUAGCAGUGCAGUCCAAGAAUCUGCGUCACAUGAUUCGGGGCCUAGUGGAUGUGCACCAGGAAACGAGUUCGAUCUACCCAAAGCCGACCAUGUCCGAUCCUGUGGGAACCGGAAAAAAAAAACUUCUAACGAUCCUCGCGUUGCGCUACGGGCACCAGCUCCAUGAUGCGUUCAGCCGUUCACGUCCAGAAUCGUGGUGCACGACUGGAGCUUCGGCGGCGGUGCUCGCCUCGCCUGCUCCAGCCACAGGAACUCUCACCAAAUCACCAAUUCACUAUGCGUCCAUGGGCAAAGGCGAGGCUUUUUUUCUCGCGCCGCACUCGCCAGGUUCCCGGGAACGCGCGCGCGCGACCGUGGCCGGCCGGCCCCGAGCCCCCGACCUCGGCGGCCGGGAUACCACCUUGACGAGCUGGCCGGCCAGAUUUUCGGUGGAUUCUGGAUGGUUGCCGGGAUCGCGAGGUUAUUUCGUCGCUUUCGUGUGCCUUCGACGCUGCGCUUGCUGCCUAGUACUGUACGAAAGUACUACUCCGCUUACGUGACAAUGCAAAGCCCCGUUGGUCAAGUCCCGUGCCUACGAUACUGCCACGAGCAGCGAGAGCGCUCUGAACGUUUCAGUUCGCCAAUUCGCACGCCGUGCCUUGCACCGGGAAAUCUACGCAUCAGCCGACCACCGUCUGUGAGCUCUGAGCACCGUUCAAAUAAGAAACAAACCUUUGCCUGCAGCAAUGCUGCAACUGCAAACGUGCAUAUGGCGUGACACGAUGGUAAUUUGAACAUGGAUGCGUGCCAUGAUCAGAUCACAGAUCAGCUUGCGCCACGGAGCAGGAAGGUUUAUCAAUGGCCUAUAAAUCCCUUGUUAACGGAGCCCUUCGUCUCGCAAUCAGCAAGUCCCCGAGUUUACCAUCAUCUUCCGAUCUUAACUCGAUCGUAGUUGCGGACUGAUUCCAAAUGGAUUCUCGCAGCUUGAUCUCUACGAAGGCGCUACAGAUGGUAACAACCACGCUGAUCCUCCUGAGCCUGGCGCGGCCGUCGCUGUGCCAGCGGCGGGAGCUCGAGCUGGUGGAGGCCCCGGCGGGCGACCAGCUGACGUACCACGGCGGCGCCGUCCUCAGCGGCGACAUCCCCGUCUUCAUCGUCUGGUACGGGAGCUUCUCGGCCGAGCAGAAGGCCAUCGUCGUCGACUUCAUCGAGUCGCUGACCUCCAAACCCCACUCCGCGACGCCCUCGGUCGCGCAGUGGUGGAGCACCAUCCACAACGUCUACCUGUCCACCUCCACCGCCACCGGCGGCGGCGACACGCGUAUCCUCCUCGCCAGCCAGGCCUCCGACGAGCAGUACUCUCUCGGCAAGUCCCUGACGCUGGACCAGGUGUUCCAGCUCGCGGCGGGCGCGGGGCCCAGGAAGGGCGGGCUCGUGCUGGUGCUCACGGACCCGGGCGUCGUCGUCGACGGCUUCGGCAGCGUGCGGUGCGGGCUCCACGGCGCCGACGCCGGCGCGGGCUACGCCUACGCGUGGGCGGGUGACGCCAAGCGGCAGUGCCCCGGGCAGUGCGCGUGGCCGUUCGCGAAGCCGUCGUACGGCCCGCAGGACAAGCCCCUGGGCGCGCCCAACGGCGACGUCGGCGUCGACGGCAUGAUGGUGACGCUCGCCAGCAUGGUGGCGGGGGCCGUGACCAACCCGUUCCGCGACGCCUACUACCAGGGCGAGAAGGACGCCGCGCUGGAGGCGUGCACGGCGUGCGCCGGGGUGUACGGAAGCGGAUCGUACCCCGGGUACGCCGGGGACGUGCUCGUCGACAAGGACACCGGAGGCAGCUACAAUGCCAUUGGCGCCGGGGGACACAAGUACCUGCUCCCCGCCGUCUACGACACGGGGAAGCCUGGUUGCUCUACUUUGGUGUAGAGCCCGGAAAACGGUGACGAAUUUCACUGCACGUCGUCGGCGCCGAAGGUGUAAAUAUACAUAAUUGUUUCUUCGAUUUGCCGUUCUUAUUUCGACGAGCUUAUGGUGUUGACGCUUGCUGGGAUCGUUGGAGGAUCGGAGGAUCUCUAAGAAUUGGAUAAAACAGAAGAGCGCGAAGUAUGCUAAGCAAGGAGUUGUCUUUCAAAGACCAACGUACAAAUCAAGAUCAGUUUAUCAAAAUGAAUAGAGAUGAAAUUGGGCGACCGAUGCUGUGUGGACUCUGGAUGACCAGCUAUAUAUUUACUUAUUUCUAUGUACCUGGUUAGUUGGUUGCGCUAUUAUGGAAGAAGAAAUGCAAUACUAUUUCUGAACAAAAUCACAUAUAUGACUGUAGACUUAAUGACCUUGAGUUUGCACAGUUGGGUGGCUUGGCUACUUUGGUGUUCAUUUUUCAUCAAGUGUUUUUUGAGACAUCAGAGGGUCUAAACUGCCAAUCAACCCCGUUUGUAACAACUCUUGCAAUAGUGCCCCCACAAGCACUGGUAGAGAUGACUAAAAACUUCAGAUAUCUUUUUUUUUUUGCGAGGAAGAUAUCUUCUUGGAGUUAACUAAACCUUCUCUAUGCAUUUGAACAUUUUUUAAGACUACUCCAAAUGCCCAUUCACACUUGUAGAUCCAAUCCAUCAACCUGUGCUCCGUGCAGGCUAAAAAAUUUAAGAGUAUUUUAAAAAGAACAUAUGCUAUAGAAGUUUGUUGAUAAAUUUGAGGCUGAUACUAAUUAAAAGUGCUUAAUCUUAUUCUCUCUCUCUCUCUCUCUCAUGUAAUCUUUAUCCGGUUGUAACAGAUAUCAUUACCGAUUACUUCCAUCCCUAUUCAUAUAUUACAUCUUUUGCAUCCCAUCUCUAUCUCAAUGUGUGUUCAACAGUUAGUUGAACCUUAGCUUUAGUUAUAUUACCUCUUGUUGCAAUCUAUCUUUCAUGACUCCAUUGGUUCAGAUUUUUUUUCUUCCCAAUUUCAAUUUUACUUUGAUAAUGAUGCUUAUUAUGUGGUCCACAUGCCAAACAUCAUUCAUCUAUACUUUGUGUUAGUUUGUCCAUAUAUUAGCAGAAAUACAUAGGUAAUUUAGAAGUAUGCAUUUGGUAUCUUAGGAUAUUAUUUUCAUAACGAUAGUAGAAGUGAUUAAUUUGCAUGUGCACAUAGAGGGUUAGUUGUUACUUUAAUAGGCAAACGUGUGUAAUUUAGAUGCUAAUUUAGGGUUGUUUUAGAUUAUUAUCUUAUAAUUAAUAACAUACACGGGUAAUUUAGAUGUGGAUCUAGGGUAUUAUCUUGGAUUUUUUUUACAAUGGUAGCGGUAAGUAAUUUAGAUACAAACUUUUUUACAAUGGAAGUUGGUUUUAUAACGGCAAACCUGAGUAAUUUACUAAAAUAAUCUAUACCUUAUACCUAAUAUUAAAGAGAGGAUGUUUCUUUCAUCAACCGUCGUGGAUAUUUUGCAAAAAAACCCCUCAAGGUUUUGGUAAUCAACCCGCAGUCCAAAUGCUGAAGAGGGGGGGGGGGGGGUUUCGGGUGGAAAAAGAAGGGAAGGGAGGGGGUUAAAGGGGAAAAAGCUUCUCUUUCUUCGAAACGGAGAGGCGAACGAGGGAGAUUGGACGCGGGCGGCCAGCAACGUCAGUGGUGCGGCGGCCGGCGUCCUGGGCUUGACCGCGGCCAUGGAGAAGGGGAGGAGGGUGAGGCCGCGAGGCUUGGGCGAGGGGAGCGCGCCGCUACCGCCGGCGAGGCCGGGGUGCCUCGGCGUCUGCUCCGGGGGUCACGUCAUGCGCGACGCCGUCCUCCGCGAUGCGGGGUCGGAGGCCGCAACAGCCACCCCACCCGUUGAAGAUCCGCGGCGGCGGCGACGGCCGCGUGGGGAGGGGUCGAAGGGCACGAGGCCGCAGCUGCCGGAGGGGCCCGGAGGAGAUCGAGAAGCUUGCCCACCGACGACAGAAGGGAUGACACCGGGACCGGAGGAGGAGGGCAGCGGACGCAACGAGAUCUGCUUGCCGGCGGCGAUUGCCGCCGCCACGCACGAGGAGGCCGCGUCGUGGUCGGAGGAGGCGGCAGCGCGGUGGGUCUGUGGCGUCGCUGUGCCACUCCAGGUCCACCUCCACGACGCUUGGGAAAAAAAACUUGUCAGGUGAAGGGGGAAAAGCCUCACGGUCCCAGACCGGCGCCACCGACGGCGCCGGCAGCCCCUGCGCCAUCUCACCGGCCGCCUUGAGGAACUGCACUGCGCUCUGCCUGUUUAACAAGGUGCUGAGAGGCGACGAUGUUCAGCCUUGCCUCUGUUGAAGACGUCGUUCAGCACGGGCAGCCUGCCUACGGCGGCACAACGGCCCUUUCGAGAUCUGCUGUGAGGGCGCCUACGGGAGUCGCAUGUGCUUCUCGACUCACCCACCGGCGGCAAGUCCCUCUUCCUCCUCUGCCCCACUUCUAGCACGCGUCCCUAGCCGUUCCUCCAUUGCCAGGUGCACCUUGCUCUCCCUUUCUUUUCUCUCUCCUCAGUUGUUUGCCAGCUCUUGGAUAAAAGAAAUUGCUCUCUCUUGGUAAUCGUUGCUUUUUGUUUGCUCAUUAAAAUUACUGCUACGUGAUAAUCGAUGGAUCAAUAGAUAAAUCAAUUACUGCAGCAAUAGUGUCAAUCUCUUUUCCCUGCUAUUCAGUUGUCGUCCUGUAGUCUGCUAUGCUCUGAAUGUUUCCAACCCUUCUGCUUGCUCUGAAUAUUCCCAACCUUUCUACUAUUCGUUGACACCUGCUUUUCCUUUUCCUUAUGUACCUGAUGUACCAAUAUUAUGUUCCAUGAUUCCGAUGCAUAAUUUGUUCUAUGACCAUGUGAAUGGAUCUAGACAGAAUGAUGAAGGCAUAUACAAAAUGGAGAUUACUAUUGCUUUCUUUUCUUCAUGGCAGUGGCUUAAUGUUGUCCUAUGAAACCAUAUGGUCGUCAGUUAUCGGAUUUGUCAUCUGCUCACUACCACUUUCACUCGGUUUGUGUUUUUUUUGCAGAGAAACUAGCCAUUAAGAAGGAUCACUGAAUGUAGCAGCAGAAAUGCAGAUGAUAUUUCCUAGCACAAGGCAAAAUGAAUCUAAUUAUACAUGUGCCCUUUCCUUCUUUAUCAAUUUGAUGAACCAGCUCUGGAGAAUUAACUACUUUUAUCUCUGCAUAUGGUGUCCUGCGGAUAGAAAGGUAGGAGAGGAGAUCACCCUGCUCGCAGAGCACGCUGUGGAGAAUGACAAGUUGUCAAUCGUCAUGUUUAGCCUGGAAAAAAUGAGUACGUGUUUAGGUUCCUUUGCGGUGACUUGCAUUGCUCUUAAAUUCUAUCCAGUUUUUUCUUCACCUUACUAACACAUGGCUUCUUUCUCUUCUCAUUGAAGUUUGCAGUGACGCGGUGUAUCAGCGAGAGUAGUCAGGUGAUGGGCUGGUAUCUUACGUUUCUACAACUUCUCCUCUCUUCCCAUCAUGUGUGUAUUUCUUUCCUUUUUGUAUGCAACUAGCAAAGGAAGAAACAAGAAAAAUAUGAAAAAAAAAUUCACUUCUGUGCCUCACGCAAUAAAAACUAAUUCCAACCAACCGUCAAAUUUGGUUGAUUUUAAUAAUGAACAACAUAUUAAAAGCGAGAGAGCCUUGGCAUUAACCAAAUUAUUAUUUGGUUGAUUUUUUAGCCCAGCUUCAUUUGAUGCGUGCAUAUUUGGUGGUGUAUGCCAUGUGUUUUGGGACCCGCAAUGAUUUUCUUCCUUCCGCGCAAUGAUUUUCUUCCUUCCGUGCAACGCAUGGGCACUUCUGCUAGUUAUAUAUAAUUGACAUUGUUGCCGGCAACGGUUGGGUCUAUAAAUCAAUGGUCGGAUGUAUUGUAUUGUUUUUGAAAUUUCUAUCUUUCCAAGUUCAUCUCAUGUGAACUAACACCAAAGCUCCAAAGAAAUCUAUAAUUCAUAAUAGUGAGAUGUUAGAAUAGGUUUGGAACUACAAUAAAAAAUUUUGGUUGGAUUAUAUACACACACUGGAAACUUAGAGCACAAAGCAUGGAAUUCUUGCAUUGUUACCCUACCUCUCGCUAAAGGAUUAAAACUCAAAAACCCCAAUUUAUUCCGUUGUACAUCUUUAUCUUAUACCAUUGGGGAAGGUCAUAUAUCCUAGGAUCUAUUUGAUGUGUGAAAAACUUAAAAAGUGUAAUGGUUAAUUAUCUUGAACAAAAAUGGAAAAGUGCGCUUACUUUAUGUAAUAUCUAGGGGUAGGUUGAAGAAGUCAACUGACCCCUUCACAUGUAUCUAUAAAGGAGUCACAUGAGGCCAAUGAUACCAUCUCUCCAUUCAUUUUCUUGCUCAUUUUCUGCAUUCUAUUGUCUCACGUGGUUUGUAGGCUCAUCUUAUUUGAUGGAUAUUGUACAACCCAAAGGUUGUGAGUUUUGGGGAAUCGUGAUCCAAAGAUUACAGUAAAACCUCCUUCAAUAUAAUCAUCUACGCACACUUUUAUAAAGAGCCAAGAGGUGUGCAUAUCACUUACAAGGACAUAAUUGAUAAGCACCAGGAGUAUGCACAUAUAGUUUUAGAGUAAAUACCAUUUCUUCCUUAACAAUCAUCUAAUAACAUGUUUUGAUCCAUAAUAUUGGUCUUUCUAAUUAUUUGUGAUAAUAUUAUUUUAUUUUAUUCAUACCAUGUAUUAGUUUCAUCCAAACUUUCAUAGUUCUUUUGGAUGUAGUAUGAGUUUGUUUGAUAUAGCUAAAUAAUUUAGUGGAGAUUCUAUAGUCUAGUGUGCAAUAAAAGACUACAUGGAAUCUUCCAAGAGAGCUAGGUUAGGAAGUAUAUUACUCCAACAAUUGUCAAGGUUGGAGGAUUAAGAUUCCAAAUAAUGGAUUGGGCUGCCAGCGACGAAUUAGGCAACUAAUGGAGAGUUGUAACUCGAAGUGAGUAAUUGACUUAAUAUAAAUAUCUAAAACAUUAUAAAUUUUUAGCACCUUGUAGAAACUCAAAUCAUUUGUCUUAUAAUCUAGAUAUUAUAUUGAAGUUACUAACAAGACUAUAAAUUUAUGAUACUUUCUAUAGUUGUAUAAAAAACAUAUAAGGGAUUUUGAUAUAAAGAAAUGACAAAUGCAUAACAAAAUUAAUAAGCAAUACUUGUUGAAUCUCAACUCCAUAAGAUCCAGGGUUUUAACUCAAGAACUCACAUCUUCAUCUUCAUUGCAUGUUUUUUUUAUAUUUGCAAAGCUUGCAUAAGAUCCAAUAUUUUUUAGGGCUAGGAUUUCAUAUUUGCAAAGUUUCCUUUAGACGAGACAAAAUCUAAGCAUAGAAAGCCCAACCCUAAACAACCCGUGCUUAGCAAAAAAAAAAAGCUCACUUAGUCAAGCAUGUUGGCUUUUAUGACUUAGCUUGCACAGUAGCCUAACGGCUCGAAUCUGACCCAAGUCUUGUUCAAAACAUAUAAAACUCAUGGGUGGGUUGGCCUACCCACAUCUUGAAUUUGAUGCUCAAUGGGAGUCUAGGUCAGGCUUGAGCAAUCGCUUUAGGUCCAAAACAAAGUAGGCUUUUCGUUUGGUCUGGCGCACCAAAUGCUCGCGUCUAUAUGAGAGACCUAGUUAUUUUGUAUGUUGAAAUGAGGGAGCUAGUUGUCUGGGCUAAUAGGCUUAACUAUUUAAGCGUAUGCCAUUCUUUUGGAUUAGAGCAUUCCAUUCUUAAAGUAAACUCAUUUUUCCAUGCAACUCAUCAUAAUUUUUGUGUCAUAAUGGGUAAAGUAUAUAUGCAGACCUCAAGGAGCGUCAAGGUCCCAUUGGUCUAAAGAAACACCAUACCUAACAUUCUUUGGCACAUGGGACAUCUAAAAAAUUGGAGCUCCUGAAGAGUGCUAACUCCAGUUCAUGUAUCACUAACAAACAUCUCAUGCAAUAGUUUUGGUAAUGGAUGAUGAAGUUUAUACUUAUUCCCUUUUUGCUGAACUUUUUUGGACUAUAUCGGUUGACGAUUAAAAUUGGCACCAAUAGGGUUUGCUAUGUAUUCUUGGCAAAGCGGCUUCACAAGUUACCAAAUUCGACCGAGCCAAUUUUGUCAACAUUGCUAAACAAUCAGUUGAACCAUAUCAUUAUGUGGUACUCAUUGGCACGAUCGUAAUGCAUAUAUAGGAGGUCUAAUCUGGAGUCUGGAUGAGAGAGAUAUGUAGCUCCGAAAUGGUCCACACCUGUGAAAACUAGUCAGACUGGUUUUUUGAAAUUGGCCAGAUCUGUUUGGGCCUAUAUAAACCGAGUAAGAGUUGUAUUUUGGUAUGGGAUAGAUGAAAGUUUUGACUAUUAUUGGAACAAGACCUCCCCACCCUACAUAUGUAUGAAGGGGCAUGUCCGAUUGAUACACACCCAAUCCAACAAAAUAUUAUGCGUUUAAAUUUUUCUCCGAAACUCUAAAUCUCUCUUCCAACCUCCAUGAUGUCCGUCUAGUGAUUUCCAUGACCACAAAUGGCGUCCUAGGCUUGCUAGUUGACCUAGUGCACGAUCGACAAUGUCUGCACCCUAACACGAUCCCUCCCAAACAUGAGAGUAUCGAUGGCCUUUUCUAGUUUGCUCGUAAACUGGUCGUUAUAUGUCAUGUAAGUGCACUGAUUAUCCUUUAAUGGUUUGUUUGUAAAUCUAGAUGUCCUCCAUCAUGUAAGUGUGGUACUUAUCCUCCUCGAGUGAUAGAUUUCCACGUGGGGACAAUGUUGGCACUCGUUACUAAGAAACUUUUACCCCAGUUAUCUUCAAUAUUGGCAUAUAGAUGACACCAUUUACAUUGAUCAUACCUAACAAUCGGACCAUCUUUGCAUAUGCCUUGCAUUUUGAAGGAUAUUCCAUUUCCCUAGAAAUUGGACUACAUUGGAGCGUAAUUGGACGAGGCUAGAGAAAGACGAAGGCCGGACAAUACAAAAAUGGCAUGGGCUGAUUGAGCCAAGGAGCCCAAGCCGAUCCUAGGGGCUCCCGAUGCUCAUUCAUGCUUAGCUUCGUUGAACGUUCCUCCAAGAAGACUUCAAGGCUAAGUUUUAGAAGAUAUGGCAAGUUGAUCUCACGAUCAAGAUGAAGCAAGCAACAAUUUGGAAGGUUGUCAAGAUCCAUUCUUAUCCCGAGGAUAUCGACAAGUUAGGCCUGGAUGCAAGACAAAAGAAGAUUCCAGAAGAUCAGAGAAGACUUGGCGAUGAAGGAGGAUGCAAGAGGGCAAAAGGAAGGGCUAGGCUGAUCAGCCAUGAUCCACCUAGGCUGAUCAGAUUGGGCCUUUCCCUCGCCCAUUGGGCUUCCCCUUUCGACUGCGGACUCUCUAGGGUAUAAAUACCCCCAUUCUCCACCAACACCAAGAGAACCAUUAGUAGCAAAAGUCGAGGAACUUGAGGGACAACCAUUACAGGGAGCUGAGGGCCGUGCAAUUGUCCAGAGGCUAGCUUAGGCUAGGCUCUGGCAGGCGUGAUCACCUUGUGAGGAAGAUCCAUGCCGAAAAUCUGGAGCUAGGAUUCACAAGUUGUAGGUAUGGCUGACGUGUUUAUAGAUUAGGGAUACCCUAAACCAUCGAUUAAGAUAGACUAAGAAAGGAUAAGGAAGUCAAAGACUAGCUAUGCCGGGUGGGAGACCCGUCGCCGUUUCUACCCGACUAGCCAGCAAAGCUAAGGCUCGGGAACCGAAGGAAGCCGGCCGCCGAGCUGCCGCACGCUAGCUAAGGCGAAAUGAUGGGCUGGGCCUAUCAUAGGCCUAGAACCUAGCCAGGCCUGACUGAUAGGAUGAUCACAGUCGGGCCCAUGUGGGUCGAGGCAUGGAAGCACGGGACGAUCAGUCGAGCGCACCAUUUUUCGUGCCUAAGGAAGACCGGACAACCGUGUCCGGACAAAAUCCCCAGUCAGGAAAGGCGCUGUAGCGCUGACCCGUGCAGCGUCCGAUCACGCACGCCUGUUUCCCGUUUGUGUUGACGCUCGUUAUUGAUACACUUUUAGUGCCAUUUAAGUGAUGUUUUCAUACAUAUUUUUAUACUAACCCGCCACUUGGCACUUGAAAUAACCCCAUUUUUGCAAUGUUAUAUAUUUUGGAGGAUAUUCUAUUUUCGCAGGAAAUUGGACUUAAUUGUAACACAAUUGGAUGAGGCUCGGGACAAGCAACAAACCAGACAAGACGAAGGCCAUUGGGCUCAGAAAGAGCCUGGGCCGAUGGGCCUAUAAAGGCUUGGGCUGAUCUACCCAGGGUCCUCAGGGCCCGAUCAUGCUCAGCUUCGGUGAGGACUCCUCCAAGAAGACUUACAGGCUAAGUUUCACAUGAUAUGGCAAGUUCAAUUCAGGAUCAAAGAUGGAAUCAAGCAGGACUUUGAAAAGAUAUUAAGAUCCAUUCUUAUAUCGAGGCUAUCGAUGUGUCAGACCCGCAUGCAAGUAAAAAUAAGUUUCCAUAACAUUAGAGAAGACUUGGCGACGAAGCUGGACACGAGGGUGUAAAAGGAAGGGCCAGACUGAUUGGCCUGGACCCCCCUAGGCCAAUCAGCCCAGCUCUUUCCUUCGCCUGUUCGUCUUCCAAUUUAAACCACAGGUCCUCCAGACUAUAAAUACCCCGAAAAUCCACCGAUCCUUGGAAUCAAUCCACCAGAACUUGACGUAACCAAAGGCAUUCACCAGAGGGAGUUAAGGGCUGCUGCAAGUCUUCGGAGUUGUCUAGAGAUGGCUUAGGCUAGAUCUAGCCGCCAUAGCCUCCCUGUGCGGUUGUGCCAUGAUGGAGAUCAGGAGCAGGAGUAGAUCAUCGAUGGUAUGCACUCGGAGGUGAUGAUCGAAAUACAUCUAUUAUGUGAUUAAUGUUCUUCAUGUCACUCGAUCUGUUAGUAACUCAAUGCCCCCUUUUAUGCUUUCUAUCUAUCAUGGAUAUGCUUGUUCCUUAGUCUAAUUCCAGAUAUUAUCUAGCAAGCUUGGUGUAAUCAUGGUGAUUAGAUCUAAUAUGUCAAUCCUUCUAGACAUGUUCACCUGUGUUCGUACCCUUAAACUGCCUGCGCUAAUAGAGGGGAUCGUGACAAGAUCUAGCUUGUGUAAGGUGGGGGUUUUUGGGAGGUUGACCGGAGGUAGUAGUUUAAAGAUUUCUUUGGAUGAGAUGCACGAUUUGCUUGCUUAUUAGCUAGAUCUACAACUAGAAGAUGAUAGGCUCUUAUUACCCCUGGGUGUGCUAUCUCAUAUAUAUAUAUAUCUGUGGAUAUGAUCAACCUAUGCUCCAUCAUUCAUGUCUAUUAUGUUUAUAUUUAUAUGCAAUCCAUGCUUCAUAUUAGGAUAGAUCUGUUAGACUAGAUAGAAAACCCUAGUAAGUUCACUGUUGAUCCACGGAUUGAUAAACCUUGGAUGGAAUAGUCUAAGGGAAAAGGUAUGAUGAUCUGUGUGCUUGUGAUUCACAAAUUGGUACGCUAACUGCCGUCAACAAGCUUUUCUGGCGUCGUUGCCGGGGAUCGGCAACUCGAACCCUGGGGCUAUCUAUCUAAUUUUUUGAACUAACCCUAAUUCUUUUUAUUGCAUGUAUCUUGUUUUUCUUAUUUGCGUCCUUGAAAGCAGGUAAAUACUAGACGCUAGAUGAUUGAAUAUGGACUUUCAUCAAGUCUGGAUUCACUUCAUUAAGAUGAUAACAACAUCAAGCUUAGCUCUUUAUAAGUAGGUGCUAACUUUGUUAGUGGCCCAGCAUCUGCUAUUGAAUCCACACCAAUGAAGACAAUAGAAAUGCUGAUAAGUAAGGUAAGCCGCUGUGUCAAUUAAUUUUUAAAGACUAAUAUUUCUUGGAGAUUUGUUUGUUCAAGUAACAGGUGUUGGAAGCAACAUGUCAAGGAGGGAUGAUUGGAGGGCUUCUUUGCACAGAAGGUGACGAUUUGGAGUUGAUCAGGACUGGAGGCAACAAGAUUAGAAGCACCAUGACACUACCAAUAUUCUCCAGUGGGAUGCUCAAAAGCUUCUAAUUGAGUGAUGCAAUCAAGGAAGAAAACUAUUUAGAUCAUCGACAGAAAGCGCAGGAGCCCCCUCUGAUCCCGACGCCUUGGCUAAAGCAAGCAUUAUGGAGAAGACACAUUAUUGCCGCUAUGCUACUUGUUGGUGCAGCAAUAAUGAUGACCUUGAAGCCAAUGGAUGUGUGACAUAAUGCUCCAAAUACCACAAGAUCGAAAUCAUCAACAUCUCCAAAUUAUUUUACGAGAAGCUACUGUUGUCAUCAAGAUUUUGCAUGACCUCAGAAGAAAAUAACAGAAUAUUUUUGGAUAUUCAGAAUCUCAUGAAGUCUAUGUUCCAAUGAAUCAAGAAGCAAGACAAUCGGAGGUUACUACAAGCGGUUAUGGCCAAAUCAUCAAAUGUCACGCAUCCUGAAAUCAGUUCUGAAUAACAUCCAAAGCUGAAAUAAAAUGGGCAAAAUUCUCUCAUUUGAACUCCAUUUUAGAUGAAUGACCACUCAUUGGAAAGGGUAAUUUCAUAAAAUUUUCAAUAGAGCUAUAUUUUGAUAUAUUUUAUAUUUUGGAUGCAGGGGAAAAUCCAUGAAGAAGAGGCAGCAGCAAGGCGAUGAGAACAAGAUGGAGGAGAUGAAGAUGGUAACAAUGAAGAGGAGCUUGGGCAAUGCUUUCAUCAAGCGUACAUGAUCAAAUUCAGAAGCUUAGAACAAAACAAAAACCUCCAGAGCAUUGGCACAUGUUGACACCAGUUUUUGACCAGAGUCAACCGCUGUAGAUAAGGUUCUGAUAGCCGAUGAAGGAGAGAGAAAGAGCCUGAAGUUGGCACCGCGUUGAGCAAGACUAACCGCAGUUGACCAGGGUUCCAGAAGAUGAUGGAACACCAGGUGGGCCUAGUCUGAAGCGAAAUUGACUCCAUCAAAUAAGGGAAAGCGUGGAUGUUUAUCUUUAAUAGUUUUUAGAAAUACCUGUAAUAGUUCAUGUCGUAUCUGACUAGGAUUUUAUCUUGCUCCAGGGUAUAAAUAUAAACCCAUGAGCCUUGUAAUAGGGAGCGAUUAAUCAAUCAAUACAACCUUUCGGCGCCACGUUGCCAAACCCUAGGAGUUGGAGAAGAGUAGAUUCGAUGAGUUCCUUCUAGCACGCAAGGUUGCAUCAGUUUCGAUCUCGGGCGAGCUUGCAAGUACCGUCACCCGAUCAUUAUGUCCUCUAUUAGAACUUUCUAAGUUAAGUAUUAUAUUCUGAUAUUGUCGCGUGACUAGUUAUCGAGUUAUCUUAGAUUGCAAGUAGAACUUUCUAGGCUUUGUCCAAUAUUCUGCUUGUUUUUGACGUUGCUCAAGUUAUCGAACGGCUUAGAUCUGGUUAGGUUGUCUUCAUCGACUCCCUUGCCUUAUUUAAACAUUCACAGUUAUCAAACCGUAUCGGCUGGUAGAUCUUGCAUGCUUUUACUGUUUUACACAUGCUAGGUCCGAUAGAUCUUUACCCCCGUCCCUCGUAUUGCUAACCGUGUGGCUUUGGUUGUGUCUUAUCCGUAUCUCGCAGAAGUCUGAUGAUGUCAUUGAGCCGAUAGGGGCGCGUACGAGGCCUUGCUGCAGCGAGCUUGUCUGUUAGGACUAAUGGGUCGAAGUUAAUGCCCUCCCACCUUGUUACCUUGUCUAAGUUUAAUACAUGGUCAUGACAUUAAUUAGAUUUUGUGAAGGAUUGAAAAAGCAACCAGAGGGGGGGGUGAAUGGGUGCCUCAAAUAUUCCUUCUGAAGACUUAGGCCUCUGUCCCAAAUUCAAACCCCAAAACCGAAGCGAGCGGAAGACGAGAGAUCCACGAGCCAACUGGGUGGCUGGGUGUCUAUGGUGAUGACCGAUAAACAUAGCGGGACUCUCAAGAAACAACUGGAAGCAAACUCCAAAGAUCCAGAAAGCAAACUCCAAAGAUCUGAGUCAAAACAGGACUCAAAAUGCUCCUGUCGGAACUUCCGACACCCUAUCGGAAGCUCCGAUACCUGUCGGAGGUACUGGGAAACUCCCAACAGGAAGUCUCUGUCAUUUCAGCAAAUUUCCAUUCGAAACUUCCGACCGGAAGUUACAUCGGAACUUCCGACAACACUGAAAUUAGCCUUCGUGAGGAGAGAAGAAAAAUCCAAAACUCAAUCAAACGACCUCCAAAAAUCACAAAAUUUUAACCAUAGCUUACCAACAACAUAACAAACAUGUUUCCAAAAGAUCUCCUGAAAAAGAUCAGCCAAUCAAAGGGAAUUAAAUAUCUCGUGAGGAACCCCACUCUUUCAACCCUAGAACUUGAAUCGCCCCGAUCUAUGAACUCGUGUGGUUUCAAUCUAAUCCCUUUGGUGGAAAGGUUCAACUCACGUCCUAGUUCAUUUCCAAAAUACCGGUUUGACUCAAGAACUCCUAGAAACCACGAAUCAAUGAAAAACGUGAGAGGGUGAAAAAGGGAGAAAACAAGAACACGAAGAACACAAGCGAAAAUUGCACAAAGCCAUCAUCCUCCAACACACGGAGGACACGAGGAGGUUAGGGCCUCCAUUCCCACAACAAAAACUCGGUUCAAUACAUGAAUUCGGUGCUCAAAACAUCCGAGGACCUCUAGAGAGAUAAACUAGAGAGAGAGAGAGACUAGACUAAUGAACUCCUAAAAUCCUAGAUAGAUGAAGUGCUUAGAGAGGUGCUAAAACAAUCAGCCCCCCAUCUCUAUUUAUAGUUCGAAACUAGUUACUAAACUACCCCUACAACUACUACUAGGAUAACUACCCACGCAGGGGCAUUUUGGUCCAAGUUUUUCUACGCUCAUCGGACGGACACGCCACCUUCACGACUUUACUUUGCCUUGAUGCAAGCUUCGCGAUGAUGCCACGUGCCCUCCUUCUUGAAGCUCCGGCCCCACUGGGCUCGCCCCUGAUUUUGAGGCCCAAACCGGCAAACCUGCCUGCGCGAUGGUUUUGAGGCCCAAACCACCCGAACCGACCAUCUUCUCUUGGUCGCCACGCGACCUCCUCGAUAUCGACGCGUGUCCAGUCUCCGCCAAGCCUUUGAGGCCUCCAAGUCUUUCGCUCCCAGCUCCCGAGCUGCUUACUUGAAUUGCCUCCGUCCCGCUUGACUCGACUGACGCCAUCUCCAUUAUCGCCAUGUUCUCUUGCCGUUCCGUGUACUAUAUGGACCGCCCAUGACUCCGCCCAGACUCCUCAGGUCCAUUGGUCCAAACUUACUCGCGUUCAUUCUUCACCGUCCUUGGUCCAUCGGCAUGAACCUUUCGCUUGACCUUCACCGCAUGCCGUCAGCCGCCACAUCGCAUCCAACACCUGCACAUCACAAGCCAAGAGCAACAUCAAACCAACACAACGUUGUCAAUCACUCAUCAUCCAAGGGUGACCACCAUUGGUCCUCAAUCUCUCCCUUGAUGAGUGCAUUGACAACACCCCAUAAAUUCAUAGUAUUUGAAAAAUAAAAAAUAAGAAACUAAAAAUAGAAAAUCUCAGUCCCCUAAGAUAAGGGCAACGGCUCUACAUGACUGAGACAAAAUCAUGUGAUCCCUCAAUAAGAAGCAGAAAAUGGCUCAACACCAAUCACAUGAAAAUCCAAAUCCGGCUCCUCAAGAAGAGGUAAAACAGCUCAACACAACCGGAAAAAGAGCACAAGAGCAUGAAAAAGCUCACAAAGACUCAACUGCCCCUGAAAUCAGGACUCCCCCUGAACAAAUGUCUCCCCCUGAAAUCAAGGCAUACAAAAGCAAAGUUCUCCCCCUUAUGAAACCAAAACCUUGUGAAACCAAAACAAGGCAAGAAUUUACAAGAAUUUGUGCAUUUCCAAAAAAAUCUCCCCCUUGUUGAUAAUGCAACCAUCAAGACGAGCAUGAGAGUAUAAAAUGGAUGCAUUAAAUGCAAAAUCUAUCAAGCUUCUCAGAUAUACCAUAGAAUACUCUCAAAGACUACAAGAGAGAAAACACUUGGUGGAUCAGAAAGAGCUAGGGCAUCGCCAACAAGAUGAUACAGGUAGAAGGUGAGGUCGAUGUCAAGUUUUUGCAAUGUAUAAAAUGAUCACCACAUGAGCAAGCACCUAGUUAAGAAACACCCAAGCAAGAACAAACUAGUCCAUCAAGAGCUCAUACAGGGAAGACAUGUUCUCAACAAGAGAUCAUUGCAAACACCCAUAUAUACAUCACAAGUCAUGUGAAGCUUGUUGAAACCAAGUGCCUACUUCUUUUGGUAGACAAUUUGUAACAACUAAGCAAGCAAGAAUAUGAACAGUUAAGCAUAAAGACUUAGUGAAUGAUGAAUUUUUUCAUUUCAACAUUUUUCUUUUCCUUAUUCACACACAGCAAAAUACAUGAAGUGCCUUUGCGGCACAAAUAAGCCAUGCUUCCCCAAGAGGUGCAUCAUGGGCUAAACAUCUGCAAUGGUACCUAGAUCUUUGACCCAAUUGAAGAGAGUAUGAAUUCCAACUAUAAGCUAAAUAUGGAACCAGCAUUCAAACAAGGGCAAACCAUAACUAAGCAUCUACUCAUGGGUGAUAAGCAAGUUCAUAGAGUAGGAUUUAGCAUUGGAUUUCAAAAACAGUUAUCUCAACAGGUGUACAAUAUCAUCAAGAGCAUAACUGCACAUUGCAUCAACCAUAACCAACCAAGGCAUUAGCUCACAAGCAGCAUAAGAUAGUAGUUAGGGCAUAUAAGAGAAGCUCAACUAGUGCAAUAUGAUAUAAAUGCAACAUGAUACAGAUGUAGUAUGAUACAAAUGAAAGCCAAACUAGCAUACUACAAAGAUGCUAAACAAGCAAAAAGACUAUACAGAUACCAUACAAGAGAGGCACCAAAAACCCAACUCAGAAAGGAAAGCAAACACCCAACUCUCCCCGCAAACGAGCAAAUGUGGCUUGAUCCAGGGGUUUGGUGAAGAUAUCAGCGAGCUGAUUUUGGGUAGCAACAUAGCCAAGGUCAAUGUCUCCUUUCUCAACAUGAUCUCUCAGAAAGUGAUAUCUCACAUCAAUGUGUUUGGUUUUUGAGUGGAGAACAGGAUUCUUGGCUACACUAAUGGCACUCGUGCUGUCACAAAGAAGGGGUACACGAGUAAAAUCCAAACCAAAGUCUCUCAAAGUGGAAAUCAUCCAAAGCAGCUGAGAACAACAACUAGCAGCAGCAACAUACUCAACUUCGGUGGUAGACUGAGCAACACUAGAUUGUUUGCAAGAAGACCAAGAGACCAAAGACAAACCGAGAAACUGGCAAGUGCCCGAGGUAGACUUGCGAUCCAAGAGACACCCAGCAAAGUCCGCAUCGGAGUAUCCUCGGAGCGUGAGUGUCGAGGAGGCAGAAUACCACAAAUUGAACUCAGGGGUAAAGCGGAGAUACCUCCUUCACUGCCUGAUGGUGAGAUGUCCUUGGUGAAGCCUGAAAACGAGCGCACAGACACACAACGAAGUGUAUGUCCGGCCUUGUCGCCGUCAGGUACAAGAGGGAGCCGAUCAUGCUUCUGUACUCCUUUUGGUCCACCGGUUUGCUAUCUUCAUUUGCAUCUAGUGCCGUCGUCAUCCCCAUGGGUGUGGAGAGUGGCUUAGCAUCAGCCAUGUCAAACUUCCUCAGCACAUCCUUCGUGUACUUUCCUUGGUGUACAAAGGUUACUUCCUUACUUUGCUUGAUCUAUAGCCCGAGGAAGAAGGUCAACUCACCCAUCAUCGACAUCUCAAACUCCCUGCUCAUGUCAUCUGCAAACUUGGCAACCAAAGUAUAAGAGGAACCACCAAAGAUUAUAUCAUCCACGUAAAUCUGAACAACUAGUAAGUCACUGCCUUGCCUAAGGAGAAAAAGAGUUUUAUCAACUGAUCCCAUUUCAAACCCAUUCCCAAGCAAAAAGGAUUUCAACCUAGCAUACCAUGCUCGGGGUGCUUGUUUUAGGCCAUAUGAAGCUUUUCGGAGUUUGAAAACACGAUCAGGAUACUUAGGACUCUCAAAAUCAGGGGGUUGUCUCACAUACACUUCCUCCUCAAUAAAACCAUUUAGGAAGGCACUUUUCACAUCCAUUUGGAAGAUCUUAAAACCUUUAGCCACACAAAAGGUUAGAAGAAUUCUAAUCGCUUCCAAACGAGCAACAGGGGCAAAGGUUUCCUCAUAAUCUAUUCCCUCUUUUCGGCUAAAACCUUGGGCGACCAACCUCGCUUUGUUUCUCACAACCAACCCAUUUUCACCCUGUUUGUUUUUGAAAACCCAUUUUGUUCCUAUGAGGUGGCAGUUUAGAGGUGGUUCAACUAAAACCCAAAUCCUGUUUCUCUCAAAGUUUUCUAACUCCUCAUGCAUGGCAUUGACCCAGUUAGAAUCGGAUAAAGCAUGUCCAAUAUCUCGGGGUUCAAAAGAGGCAACAAAUGCAGAAUGUGCAAAGUGUGAAAUCUGCCUAGAGCUGUGCCUAGUGGUGUGCUCAUGCAAGUUACCGAUCAUCAAUUGUGGAGGAUGGUUACGCUGAAUGUGUCAUGGAGCCUCUCGCUCUGAAAUCGUCUCCCCCUCAACAGCAGCUGGAUCACUCUGACUUUCUUCUUCAUCAUCAUGUAGUGGUACUCGUUGAUGGCUUGAAGUAGUGGUAGUGGAGGUCGGGCCAUCAACCAUUGUAGUCGAAGUAGGAGGUACAGGAACAAUAGCUAGAGCACGAUUCACUUCAUCACCUUCUUCAUCAUCACAAUCAGCACGCUCAUCCUCUUCCUCAAAGAUGCUUUGUCCCAUUUCAUGUUCAACUGCGGUCUCAAAGAUAGGAGUUGUGCAAGGCAUAGUUUCAUCGAAAGUAAUCUCACAGGUUUCCACAAUUCGGUUAGUUUCAAGGUUAAGUACAUGAUAAGCAUGACUAUGAGAAGCAUAACCAAGAAAAAUCCCAUCAGUGGAUCUAGACUCAAAUUUGUCCAAAUUGCCUUGCUUGAGAAUGAAACACUUGCAGCCAAACACCCUCAUGUGACUCACUUUGGGGGGACGUCGAUGCAUCAGCUCAUAUGAAGUUUUCUUCAGGAAAGCUCGCAAGAAGAUUCGAUUGGAAACACAACAAGCAGUGUUAACGGCUUCGGCCCAAUAUUUUCUAGGAGUCCUAUGCUCAUCAAGCAUCAUCCUAGCCAUUUCACAAAGGGUCCGAUUCUUCCGUUCAACAACACCAUUCUGAGGAGGGAUAUAAAGCGAUGAAAACUGGUGUUCAAGACCAAGAUCAUUGCAAAAGGCUUUAAAACGAGCGUUCUUGAAUUCUGUACCAUUGUCACUGCGAAUAGCUCUCAUGGCAUCUUUAGGUCGCUCAUUUUUCAACCUCAAGAUCAAAUCUCAAACAAAAGGAAAUGCCUCCUCCUUAGACUCCUUGAAUAAAACCGUUGAGUACCUUGAAAAGUCAUCAACAACCACAAGCACAUACCACUUCCCACCAACUGAGCAAACGCGAGCUGUACCAACUGUGUCCAUGUGCAUCAGCUCCCCUGGGUGCUCAGUCAUCACCUGAUUCACAGGAGGAUGGGAAGCAGCAACCAUUUUCCCAUGUCGACAAGGAGCACAAAUAAGAUAUUUUUCAAAUUUCAACUUGGGCAAACCACGAAUAAGAUACAAAGUACUCAAGUGGGACAACAAAUCAAAGCUUAGAUGUCCCAACCUCCUAUGCCACCUCCAAAGUUCAGAAGAAGAACCAACAACCAAACACCAAGACAGACCAAAUGACUUGGAAAAAUCAACUCGAAACACCUGACCCUCGAGGACGAUCAUACACACAAGAUCUCCUCGAGAGUCUAAAAUCCUUGAGAUCCCUUAACGGACCUCAAAACCAUCAUCAAGCAGUUGCGACACAGAGAGCAAAUUGAAACCAAGAGAAUCAACAAGAGCAACUUGCUUGAGCAUGAAAUUCUCACUCACCUUGAUAGCACCUUCAGACAACACCUUACCUUUGCUAUUAUCCCUAAAAGUGAUGUACUCCUUGGUCAUCAUCGGGGUGAGGCUGGAGAACCAUCUAUGAUCACCGGUCAUGUGUCUGGAGCAACCAGAGUCAAUGAGCCACGUGUUCUUUAGGCCUCCGACUUGCUCAAAUAAAGGGAGAUCAAGGAUGAGCAAAUGACUCAACACUGGGGUUAGAAAAACAAGUAGAAUACAAGUGUCGAACCAUUUGCUCAAGAGUGAGGUUAGCAAAAUCAACCAUCUCUCAUCUCAUAGGAGGACUACGGCCAACGCUAGGGGAAAAACAUGGUCCAUUGUAGCUCCGAGACUCAAUACCACAACCAUGCUGUCCUGGGCCAUAUUGAUCAUGGCGAGGGGCAUGCCUGGCAAAACCACGCGAAGGAGCAAAAUACACACUAUCCACAUGAUGAGGUGGAGGGACUGCUCUAGGCGCAUGUACACCAUGAGAAGGGUGGUACAUGUCCCUGUUGCCCCACUCACGCUUAUGCCUCAAAGCCUUCUUCUUACGAAAGCAAAACUCCUCAAGGUGACCCCCUUUCUUGCAAUACUCACAGUGGAAUCUAGCAAGUUGUUUUGGCUAUGGAUUCACUCUAGAUUGUGGCUUGGCUUGGGGUUUUGGUGGAGGUUUCUUAGGAGCAAUUUCUGGAAGUGUGUCGAGCUUGUUCUUGAGAUGGUUUGGUUUUUUCACCCAAAUGGUUUUCUUGGGUACUUUGGGUGGUGUCUCAAUGAAAACUCCAUCUCUCACACACUCAGACAAGUUUUGCUUGCAAGCUGGAAUGGGUUGCUCUCUAUUUUUAGUGGGUGACUCUUGAGGGGUGUAGUCAGCUGGUGGCUCACACUGGUUAUAGCUUGGUUUCUUUCUCUCACCACUGUUUUGACCCACCUUUUCACACAACCCGUCAAAGAACUUGUGCAACCCAUUAAAAUGACAACCCUUCAUAACGGACCCAAGCCCAAAACCAUCAGCCCUUUUGAACUCCUGAAUCAUCAUGCCUAGCUGAGGUUCCCUACUUGACACCCAACUAAGAACCAUGCGCAAGUAAGAGUUUUCAUCCUCAGCAUGUUGCAAACUAAGCUUGAGUUCAGGACAAUCAGUGCAUUCAGGAAGUUUAGAUCUAGCAAUGAACUCAGACUUCUCUAAAGCACUAAGCUUAGCACAUGCAUCAUCCAACUGAACUUGCAAAGCGGGGCAAGACUUACAUGCACAAGCAAAAUAGGCCUAGUCUUGACUUCAUCUAAAGCAGCCCUAGUCAAAUCCAAUUCAUCUAUCAACAAAGCAUGCUUAGAUUGUAAAGAUGCAAGACUAUCCAUAUGAACAGCACAUUCAUUACACUCAACAACAUCAGAAACAAUAGGAGCAGAUUUAAGCAUAUCUAUCUCAAUCAACGCACUCUCUAACUUAGCCUUGAGCUCAACUCAUUCACGAGCUGCCUUCUUAAUCAAAUUAUCUUGAUUGAUCAGGCAAUCAUUCAAUUCUUCUAUUUCUAAGACAAGUUGUUCUGGAGUAGCCUUUACCUCUAUUUCUGUGUCGGAGUCGCUUUCCUUGUCAUCCGUCUUGUUGUCGGUGUUGAGGGCCAUGACACAGUACCCAUUGCGGUUCUUGCCGGAGUAGAAGCAAAGGCCGUUGAAGUUCUUGCCAUCCUUCUUCUUCACCUUGCGGUCGUCAUCCUCCUCACUUGAGCUUGAGUUGGUGUGGUCGUCGGUGUCAGAGUCGACAUUGCUGAGGGAGGCGAUGAAGGCGUGUGCUUUGGCCUUCUUGCGGUACUCCUUCUCACGAUCGAUGUACUUCUUCUUCUUCUUGGUGCCGUCCUUGUUCUUGUGCUUGUUGUAGUCAUGCCCGCUCUUGGAUUUGUUCUUCUCGGGGCAGUCAGCGGCGAAGUAGCCUGGCUUGCCACAGUCGAAGUAGGUGUUGUUGUUCCUUCGCCUGUUCUUGCGGUUGCCGUUGAAGCGCAUGAACCGCCGUGUGACCAAGGCGAGCUCAUCAUCGUCAAGAACCUCCAACUGCUCCUCUGAAAUAGAAACCAAGGAAGACAAGGCAAACGACAUAGAAGAAGAGUUCCCCAAAGACUUAGGUUGUCCAGAGCCAGACAUGAGAGCCAUACUAUUUGGAUCAGUAGGGCCUUCUUGUUUUGCUCGGAGCCUCUUGUCAACCUCCGUGGAUUUCAACUUGGCAAAGAGUUCAUCAGCGGAAAGUGUUUCAUAAUUGGGUGACUCGAUGAUAGCAUCAACCUUCAUACCCCACACCUCGUGAUCCAAAGCAUGCAGAAGCUUUAAGUUCUAUCAUGAUCGUUGUAGGGUAAGAUGGUGAUGUUUGCUUUCAUCUUGUUCACAAUAGCAAGAAAGUGCGGAAACAAAGCAUCGACAGACUCUCCAGGCAAAUGAACAAAGUUCUCAUACUCAUGCCUGUAAGUCUCAAAGAGUCUUGCCUUCACCUGACUGUUUCCCUCAUGGAAACUCUGAAGUCUGGACCAAAAAUCUCAUGAGCAAGAGAUAGAUCCUCGACACGGUCAAACUCAGCACGGCACAGACUCGCAAACAAGAUAUCCACCACUUUGUUGUUGGCGUGAUAUUUAUCUCUUUCAUCUUGAGUCAAGCGAGUAGCAGGAAUCACAUAAGUCACAUCCUGAGUGAUUUCCCAAACCCCUGCUCCUCUACUAUUUAGAUGGGCUCUCAUGCGAGUUUUCCAAUACUGAUAGUUAGAGCCAUCAAAGUAGGGUGCAGCGGUCGAGGUAGAAUGCUCAUAGGUCGCCAUAAUAGGUUUCGAAACCGAUUAGGGUAUGGAGAAACCUUAACUAGCUCUGAUACUAAUUGAAGGACCGAAAAGGCGACCAGAGGGGGGGGGUGAAUGGGAGCCUCAAAUAUUCCUUCUGAAGACUUAGGCCUCUGUCCCAAAUUCAAACCUCAAAACCGAAGCGAGCGGAAGACGAGAUAUCCACGAGCCAACUGGGUGGCUGGGUGUCUAUGGUGAUGACCGAUAAACACAGCGGGACUCUCAAGAAACAACUGGAAGCAAACCCUAAAGAUCCGGAAAGCAAACUCCAAAGAUCUGAGUCAAAACAGGACUCAAAAUGCUUCUAUCAGAACUUCCGACACCCUAUCGGAAGUUGCGAUUCCUAUCGAAGGUACCGGGAAACUCUCGACAGGAAUUCUCUGUCGUUUCAGACAAUUUCCCUUCGGAACUUACGACACAGUGUUGGAACUUCCGACAGCACUGAAAUCAGCCUUCGUGAGGAGAGAAGAAAAAUCCAAAACUCAAUCAAACGAUCUUAAAAAAUCACGAAAUUUUAACCAUAGCUUCCGAACAACAUAAAAAACAUGUUCCCAAAAUAUCUCCUCAAAAAGAUCAGCCAAUCAAAGGGAAUUAAAUAUCUCGUGAUGAACCCCACUCUUUCAACCCUAGAACUUGAAUUGCCCCGAUCUAUGAACUCGUGAGGUUUCAAUCUAAUCCCUUUGGUGGAAAGGUUCAACUCAUAUCCUAGUACAUUUCCAAAAUACCGGUUUGACUCAAGAACUCCUAGAAACCACGAAUCAAUGAAAAACGUGAGAGGGUGAAAAAGGGAGAAAACAAGAACGCGAAGAACACAAGCGAAAAUUGCACAAAGCCAUCAUCCUCCAACACACGGAGGACACGAGGAGGUUAGGGCCUCCAUUCCCGCAACAAAAACUCAGUUCAAUACAUGAAUUCGGUGCUCAAAACAUCUGAGGACCUCUAGAGAGAUAAACUAGAGAGAGAGAGACUAGACUAAUGAACUCCUAAAACCCUAGAUAGAUGAAGUGCUUAGAGAGGUGCUGAAACAACCAGCCCCCCAUCUCUAUUUAUAGUUCCAAACUAGUUACUAAACUACCCCUACAACUACUACUAGGAUAACUACCCACGCAGGGGUAUUUUGGUCCAAGUUUUUCUACGCUCAUCGGGCGGACACGCCACCUUCACGACUUUGCUUUGCCUCAACGCAAGCUUCACAAUGAUGCCACGUGCCCUCCUUCUCGAAGCUCCGACUGCACCGGGCUCGCCCCCGGUUUUGAGGCCCAAACCGGCAAACCUGCCUGCGCGGUGGUUUUGAGGCCCAAACCACCCAAACCGACCAUCUUCGCUUGGUUGCCACGUGACCUCCUCGAUGUCGACGCGUGCCAGUCUCCGCCAAGCCUUUGACGCCUCUAAAUCUUUCGCUCCUAGCUCCCGGGCUGCCUACUUGACUUGCUUCCAUCCCGCUUGACUUGACCGACGCCAUCUCCAUCAUCGCCAUAUUCUCUUGCCGUUCCGUGCACUACAUGGACCACCCAUGACUCCACCCGGACUCCUCGAGUCCACCGGUCCAAGCCUACUUGCGUUCAUCCUUCAUCGCCCUUGGUCCAUCGGCAUGAACCUUUCGCUUGACCUUCACCGCAUGCCAUCGGCCGUCACACCGCAUCCAACACCUGCACAUCACAAGCCAAGAGCAACAUCAAACCAACACAACAUUGUCAAUCACUCAUCAUCCAAGGGUGACCACCAUUGGUCCUCAUUUUGUUACCUUAAUCGGCUUGUAAGCGGUUGGUAAGAGGCCUUUGGUGAUUAUGCUCUAGUCUUUUAUGUUGACAGAUUGAAGUUAAUACCCUCUCAUUCGUGUUGCCUUGUCUAAGUUCAAUACACUUAUCAAGACAUUAAUUAAGAUCUGUUAAUGUAUCUGGCUUGUGUAUGGUCAACAUCGGCUGGUCCUUGUUACGUUCUAAUCUUUUAAGUUAGUAGAUUGAUGCCAGUACCCUCUCAUUCGUAUUACCUUGUCUGAGUUCAAUACACUUAUCAAGAUAUUGGCUAGAUCCAUUAGCUUAUCUGAUAAGUACGUAGUUAACAAGGGUCCCUUUUAUGGCUGUUGUGUUACAAUGCUUUACCUUAGCCCGUCGGCUAACAUAGUUGAUGGCACAUGCCAUUAAUGUUUUAUUUACACCACAUGCUUAUAUUAAAUAUCUAUCUGUCAUGGUGUUUAUUCCAAGAAUGCCUACCUAUGAGUUCGAAAGGCUUCGCCAGCGAUCGACUCAGGAAUUUAAUGUUUACCUUGUCAAGUUUUAGGUCAAAUUGACUAGCACACCUUGCACCACUCGCGAGCCGAUUUGGAGCCUGCACUGGGGUUAAGCGGAUCUCCUAGGUCCUCCGUGUUGUUCAACGUAGAAACCUGAGGUCCAGAUGUUGCGUCAAUAGCACAUGAAGACACAAGCAGGCUACAUCCAAAACAAGGAGAUGUUAGAAGCAAACCACGAAGGCUUACAAAAGAUGACAUCAAGCUGCAUGGGCACUUUGGGUUCUCACGCAAAGGACCAUGGCUUCGCAUGAACAUGAUCAAGGUGAGGAGUGUAGCUAUAUGACUAUAACUAAAGCGCUUUUCGGGAGGCAACCUGUCUUUUUAUUUAUUGUUUAUAUUAAGACUACAGUCUAUAUUGUGCUCUUCAAUCAAAACCAUCAAGCAACACUAUACCUUUGCUCUAAUAAAUACUACAACCACAUGUUGUAUGCUUUAAAUAAUAUUGAGGGAGCACUUUGUUAUUUGAUCUUGGAAAACUUAUAGACCCUUUUUUGUGUGCUAUUAGUGUUUAGAGUCUUUUUCUUUGUCUCUUUUUAGAGAGAAAUAUGAAGUAUGUCACCACCCCUUUGAUUCUAAACUUGUGACUAGUUAAUUUAGGCUAACUUUUGUUUAGUUUAGACCACCAUCAUAUCAUUUUGUUUUCCUCAUUGCAUUGCAUUGCAUGAUUUAUUUUGUUUUAUAACCUUUUGUUAAAACCUUUUCCACCAAAGCCUUCCCAUCAACCUCGCUAAAAACCAGAGCUAGCAGAGGUAGGGUUUACUUGCGUUGAUCGAUUUGUUGCACCAUUCAGAUCGGCCAAGUCUAUUUCUAUCCUCUGUUCUAACUAAAAAUUUUGACAAGCCUACCUAAUAUCUUUAGCCAUCCUAAAACCUUAGGUUUUGUUUUUUGCAUAAAAAAUAACCCUUGCUUUUCUUUUUAUUUUGAAUUCAUCUUGGAUAGAAUUUUUGUACCUGAUUUAUCUCUUCAAAAUUCUUGUUUUAAGCCAAAAAUAUAGGAUACAUAUGAACCUACCCUAAGCCUUGUUAGUUUGGUUGUUGGGGCUUUUUGAUGAAUGAUUUUUUUUAUUGACAUUGCUUGACUUCUUAUGAAGUGGCAAGCCUUACUUUCUCAUUCUAAGCAAUUCUUUUUGACUCAACUAACUAUAGAACAAUAACGAUAGUCUUUCCGACCUUACUAAUCCUUGUUUUUGCUAACCCUUUUGCAUAUGCAUUUGCAUUUGUUCUGUCAUUUAUGUGUUAGCUUGACUUUCUCCUAAAACUUUUUGAUGAAUGCUUUCAUAUUUAUGUUAAUGCUUGGAUGGUAUUUUUCUUUUGCAAUCUUGUGUAAGAAAAACAUGGUGUUUAGACUUGAUUGCAGACAUCAUCAUUCAGUUUACCAAAACUUGGUAGCUAUUCAUAUUGCAUUGGUUGGUUUAUAAGCUUUGCAAUGCGCUUUAUUGUUCUUGUGUUGUAUUGAUCUUGGGAUAAGCAUGGUGUUUGACCUUGGUUAACAAUUUUUUUAUGGCUUCUGGAGAAUUUCAGCAACCUAGUUGUAAACAUGGUGUUUAGAACUUGGUGUUGACAUUGUCUUUGUUUAUGUUCCUUCCUAUCAUUUGUAUUCACACUUGCACACACUUACACUCAUUAGGUUUUUGUUUUUAUUUUACUGGAUUAGCUGUGCCACAAGUUAAAGUCUUAGGGAUGUUAUUGGUUUGUUGGCGAUUGCUUCUAGUCCCGACCAUCACCCCGGGGGUAGUAUGUGCACUUGGAUUGUUUAGCAGGAAUGGCGAAGCGCUUUCAUGAAAGGAAAAGAGAAGAAAUUGAAGGACAAUAAAGGUGACAAAAGUGAAGAAGCAUAAAGAUAAGCUCUGGAUACAGAGCACAAGGAUUUCAACGAUCAUAAAAUGCUUCACCUUCUUCUUCCAUGCCUAGCACAAUGCUAAGCAUGUGGGAGGGCUUGGCACAAUGCUAAGCAUGUGGGAGGGCUUGGCGGAUGAAGAUAAAAAUGCUAAAUGGAACGCAAGGAUCAUGGUCGCUAGAAGAUGCUCAUUUUUCUUCUUCCAUGCUAAGCACAAUGCUUAAGCAUGGGGAGGCAGCGCUACACUUCAUUACAAGCAUCGAAAGGAUAGUAAAUUCUUCCUCAACUUUCUCUUUGUCCAUAUCUUUCUAAAUGUCUGUGUAUAGAAGCUUUCAAUCAUAGACUUGAUGCAACUUUUGUAUAUCUCUCGAUAAUAACAUGGCUACUAGGAGUACAACCUAGUUUUUGUUUUUAGUAAAUCAUGAUCACCAUCACCUUGUGCUCACCAUGAUGUUAAUUUUGGUAUAAUCUUGCUUAUGGAAAGAUGAAGGUUGUCGCUUUGUUUUACCUACACAAUGUUGUAUAUGACUUGACUAUUUGCUCUCUUUUUAAUGAACCUAAAUUGAUUAAAUACCGGCUCUUUUAAUUGUGGAGGUUAAAUGACUAAAUUUUAGACCCACAAGCUCUAUGUUGCUCUUUGAUUUAAGUUUACAGAUGACCAGAUAACUUGAUCUAUUUUUAUUUAAAAUUAAUUCAUAUGCUAUAUACAUUUGUGAAUCUCUUGCAAAGUUCUACCUACCAGAGCCUAUAUACAUGCAUUGUGAGUUUCUACACUGGAAAUUUUGAUUAGUUGGAUUAAAAUUGAUUUCUGUGGUAUGAGAUUUAGAAGCUAGCCAUAUCCUUUGUGUAAACAUUUUUCUUGCUAGCCUUUCUGUCCACGCAUUGUGAGUUUCUACACUAAAAAUUUCACAAACCUCACUGGACAUCCAACCUAAACUCAAAUUAUCAUUUUUGUGACUAUCUCCUUGACCACAAACUAUUAUUGAGUAUGGAAAAAUAUUUCGACAAGGAUCCAGAAGAUAUAUCAGUACCUUUUCAAGAAAAAUAAUAUUUGAAGGUGUCCACCAGUAUCAAGAAUAAAAAUCGAAGGAAACAGAGGCCAGCAGGGGCAAGGCCGAUCGGCCUGGACAUCCUCAGGCAGAUCGGCCUGGGUGGUUUCCCCCUGGACCCUCUGAAUUUUAGCAUGGAUGAUCCUCCAGAGGAAUAAAAUAACUUUCUGAUGAAGAUUGAAAAUUUUAGUACUUAUCUCAGCAGUUUAUCUUUCUUUCUCUUUCAUGCUCGAGGAUGAGCAUCGUCCAAGCAUAGGGGACGAGUCAUCGUAUUAUCUCUGAUUACUACUGAGUAAAGUAUGUUGCAAGAAGUUCUGAGGAGCAAAAUAAAAGAAAUGAGGAAAAAGAAAGAAAGAAGAAAGAAGAGAAAAAGAAUGAAAAAGAAAAAAUAUAAAGGAGAAAAAUAAUAAAAUGCUCCUUAGUUCUUUGAGCCUCAUUAAAGUUUCCAGUGCUCUUAAGAUUAAGGAUUGAUCCAUACUUAUUUUCCAACCAUGUGCAAUCCGAUUACGAGAACUUCAUUUGUGUCUCACGAUCACCCUUUGCCCUUGCACAUGUCUACUAUCUAAAUGUGUGUGUUUCAUCCCUCUCCCUCUCCAACAUUUAUUUUCCAUAGCCUUUUUCACAAGUUUCAGUAAUCCCAAUAAAUCUGUCUCUUAGUUUGAUAAUAUUUCAGAUAUAAUGUCUUGCUAGGAUUGUUUCUACCUACGAAGCUCCACAUAAGCCUUCCAUUUUCAUAUAUGAGUAGAAUAGGUUGAAAAUAAUCUAGUAUAGGCUUGAGUGACAUGAUGAGAUGAGUGUUUCCAUGUGCCGUUGCAAGAGGAUCUCACUUGUGUUAGAUUUGCAUCUUUUUGAAAAACUCUUAACGAUGAAACAAGGUAAAGGUCUGAUGUUCUUAAGAGCAUUGUAUUUAUUUUCUUAUUGUGGCUUGUUCUUUAUUGCUAGUCUAUCUUCCAUGAUGAAAAUUAGCGGGUCACAACUUGAACUUUAAUGCUAAAUACUUGAGAGAGCAAUGUAUCUUGUUAUGUAUAACUGAGUGCAGGGAUGACAUCGAAUGGCAAUGCUGAUUUCCUGAUUAAGCAACUAACUUGGAUUUACUCGAGGAUGAGUAAGGUUUAAGCAUGGGGGAAUUGUUGGCGCUCGUUAUUGACACUUUUUAGUGCCAUUUAAGUGAUGUUUUCAUACAUAUUCUCAUACUAACCCGCCACUUGGCUCUUGAAAUAACCCCAUUUUCGUAUAUGCAAUAUAUUUUGGAGGAUAUUCUAUUUUUGCAGGAAAUUGGACUUAAGUGGAGCAUAAUUGGAUGAGGCUCGGGACAAGCAAUGAACCAGACAAAGAUGAAGGCCAUUGGGCUCAGAAAGAGCUUGGGCCGAUCAGCCCAGGGUCCUCAGGGCCCGAUCAUGCUCAUCUUCGGCGAGGACUACUCCAAGAAGACUUAGAGGCUAAGUUCAUAAGAUAUGGCAAGUUCACUUUAGGAUCAAAGAUGGAAGCAAGCAGGACUUUGGAAAGAUAUUAAGAUCCAUCCUUAUACCGAGGCUAUCGACGUGCCAGGCCUGCAUGCAAGUAAGAAUAAGUUUCCAUAACAUUAGAGAAGACUUAGCGACGAAGCUGGACGCGAGGGGGUAAAUGGAAGGGCCAAACUGAUUGGCCUAGACCCCCCUAGGCCAAUCGGCCCAACUCUUUUCUUCGCCUGUUUGUCUUCCAAUUUAAACCACGGGUCCUCCAGACUAUAAAUACCCCGAAAAUCCACUGAUCCUGGGAAUCAAUCCACUAGAACUUGACAAAACCAAAGGCAUUCACCAGAGGGAGUUAAGGGCCACUGCAAGUCUUCGGAGUUGUCUAGGAGAUGGCUUAGGCUAGACCUAGCCGCCAUAGCCUCCCUGUACGGUUGUGCCAUGAUGGAGAUCAGGAGCAGGAGUAGAUCAUUGAUGGUAUGCACUCGGAGGUGAUGAUGUAAAUACAUAUAUUAUGUGAGCAAUGUUCUUUAUGUCAUUCGAUCUGUUAGCGACUCAAUGCCCUCUUUUGGCUUGUGCAAGGUGGGGGUUUUCAGGAGAUUGACCGGAGGUAGUAGUUUAAAGAUUGAUUUGAACGAGAUGCAUGAUUUUCUUACUUAUUAGUUAGAUCUACAACUAAAAGACGAUAGGCUCUUGUUACCCCUAGGUAUGCUAUCUCAUAUAUAUAUAUGUGGAUAUGAUCAACCUAUGCUCUAUCAUUCAUGUCUAUUAUGUUUACCUUUAUAUGCAAUCCAUGCUUCAUAUUAGGAUAGAUCCGUUAGACUAGAUAGAAGACCCUAGUAAGUUCACUGCCGAUCCACAGAUUGAUAAACUUUGGAUGAAUACUCUAAGGGAAAAGCUACGAUGAUCCGUGCACUUGUGGUUUACAAAUUGGCGCGCUAACUGUCGUCUACAGUUUGCUAUCAUGACAACAUCAGAUGAUGUGACUGGAGGCAGGCACCACCCUCAGACACGCAAGGUGACCAGGCCCGAACAUCUCGGCCACUAAGGGAAGGAGCGCGGAAGAAGGCUUUUUCUGAAGAUAGAGCAACUGGACGUCCCGAUUGAAGGGAGGGGCGCACCGCGAUCAGUCAGGAAGCAAGCGCCAAAUCAAGAAAGAGAACCACGACAACCGGACGAUGUAACCCUCCCCAUGAGCCAUGUAUAUAAGGGCAUGGGGGAGAGAGGGGAUUCGACUCCGUGCGAUACCCAUUGUUUUUAAACCCCUACUACAAACUAGACGUAGGGCGAGUUGCCUGAACUAGUACAACCUCCUUGCCUUUUGAGAGUUAGGCCAUCUAAGACCCAUACAACAAAUCUUCACUAGUUGAUGCUACAGAACGACUACAGUUGGCGCGCUAGGUAGGGGCCUAUUGCAUGAUUGUCACAACUCUUCGAUGGCUUUCCUCCUCGCCCAUGAUGGUUGCAUCUUCGUUCCUGGGAGUGGCAUCCGCUUCGGGAGCCUAGACUUCAUCGCCACCUCUGCGGGCAACCUUCAACUCAUCGUGACACCCGCGAGAGGACAGGAGCUGCACUUCGGCAGCCUCAGGUUCAUGGCCAACGCGAACGACGACUUCGAGCUUGGCGACCUGGCGACUACGCACACCACUGGCGCGAACACCACAGACAGUGAUGCCGGUCUCGACAUCGACACAGAUGCAAUCGCCCGCCGCAUCAACAGCUACGUCGGGCCGAACCCACCCCACAAAGAGGUCAAAACCAAGCUCUACGCACUGAUAAACACCUUCUCCCAGCUGACAGUGAAGGCUCGGGGUUGGCGGAAGGGGACGACCAUGAGGCCAUGAUCAGCUUUCCCUUCAGGCUGAAGAAUGUGGCCCACAGCUACGCACAGAAGCUACGGAAAACCACUUCCCACACCACGCGCACACCCAUUUUCGUCGGCAUGAUGGACUACGCCCUGGCAUCCGUCCAUGACCUCCUCGAUGAUGACACCAGCGACGGCUUAAGCUUGGAGCCAGGAUACUGUAGCAACGAGCAUGCAACAUGGUGGAUCUCACGGACGCCCCCAUCAUCGAGGAAGCCACCACGCAUACCCCGCCAGAUCAUCUUAUGGAGGAGCAGCGUGAGGCCUACGCCAGGGAGUGGGCAGAGCGGCUGAAAGCCCAACACACGGAGCUCGAGGCGAAAGGGCAGCAGUUGGAAUGGGAGCAAGCGGAGUUGUAGCCCCAACAAUGGUGGCGUGGAGAUACCGCACGAGUCCAUGCCCGGCAAGUCCAUCACCAGAUCGUACAGGGGGCCGAGGACGUGCCCCACUUCAUGCGAGCAUGUCAAAAUGUGGCCGCUGCAGCUAUGAUCCUCUGCUCCAUCCCCGAGCCAAGCGGCCCAGCAGCCAGGCAGAUCCAUCACAACCUACGAGGUCUCGUAGAAAGGACAGUCGUGCAACAAGCUGAAAGCUCCCACGCGAGGCGACACGAAGCAUCAAGAAGCAAGUAGAGCCAUGCCAGCCACUGAGACGACGAAGCCUCUUCCCGGUCGGGCGCAUCUCGUCGCCAGGGAAAGAGUGAUCACGCUACCUCCACGAGCCAUCAUACCCCGAUCGUGUCGAUGCAUGAUCGGAUGGUCAAGAAGCAGGACGCACGUGACAUGAUCAACACCCGGCGGCGUGCCGCCAAGGAGCCUAAGAUCGCCAAGAAGGAUAAGACAUAUCACCAUGAUUGGUGCGGUCGAAGUCCUAGCCCUGACGGACCCGGACCCGAGCUUUCAGCGGAGAAUCUGCAGCACGCGUUUCCCCCCGUGCUUACGACCACCCACGCACAUCGCCAAGUACAUCGGGGAUACCGACCCUGGGGUGUGGAUCGAGGACUACCAGUUGGCCUGUUGGGCGGAGGGGCUGGAGACAAGUACUUCAUCAUCCAGAACCUGCCUCUCUGCGUAGCCAACUCCACCAGGGCCUAGCUCGAGUAUCUGCCACACGGCCGGAUCCAAGAUUGAGCCGACCUGAAGGAUGUCUUCAUCGGUAACUUCCAAGGCCUGUUCAUCCACUGGAAACCCUAGGAUUUGAAGAGCUGUAGGCAGAAGAUGGGAGAAAUACUUUGAGAUUAAAACUGCCGAUUCUCGAGGCAAUGCAACGAGCUCCUCAAAAUAGUUGACGCGAAUGUAGUCGGGGCCUUCAUCUCCAGGACGACUUGUCAAUCCCUGGUGCACAAACUCAGAUGCUUGAAGCCCCAGACAACUAAGGAACUAUUGGACAUCGCCACCAAUCAUGCCUCGGGAGAAGAGGCCGAAGAUGCGGUGUUCGAGCUCAGCAAGGGAAAGGCGAAGAGAAAGGAGGAUGAGGCCACGACCUCCCAUGGACGCAUUUAGAAGAAGAAGAACAAGUCGUUGUGGGAGAAUGAGCUCAUCACAAUGGUGGGAUGAUCGGAGAAAAAGGUUGGGAAGCCUCUGACUGAUUACUUCGAGAAGAUGCUCGAGGGACCAUGCCCCAACCACGCAUUCCCGGCCAAACACCUUUACAAGGACUGCUCUCUCAUGAAGAAGUACCUACAGGGAAACCUCAAGACGGCAGAUCCGAAGAAGAAGAAAGCUGAGGCCCCUGCCCCAAUGGUUGCCUCAUGAUCUUCGGUUGCUCGGAUGCCCGAGUCGAAGCGGAGACAGAAGCUAACCAACCGGGAGGUGAACACCAUCGAGCUGGCGGUCCCAAUGUACCUGAAGUGGUCGGAGUCCGCGAUCACCUUCGAUAGAUCGGAUCAUCCCAGUCUCGUGCGAUGCCUAGGAAGGUUCCCGUUGGUGGUGGACCCAAUCAUCGAGCCCAAGUGUCUCUCCAAGGUGCUGAUGGAUGGUGGGAGCGACCUUAACAUCCUCUACGUCGACACCCUCAACUCCUUGAAGAUAAGUCGACAGCACAUCCAACCGACCAGAGCACCCUUCCAUGGUGUGAUCCCCAGGAAGCAAGCCACCCCGCUCGGGAAGAUUGAUUUGCCCAUGAUGUUUGGACACCGGUCAAACUUUUAGACAGAGACUCUCACAUUCGAGGUGGUAGACUUCAGCGGCUCCUACGACGCCAUCCUUGGGAGGCCAUGGUAUGCUAAGUUCAUGGCUGUCCCCAACUACGUCUACCUCAAGUUAAAGAUGCCUGGGCCGAAGGGCAUCAUCACCAUCGAGCCAAGCUUCACACACGCAUGACAGUGCGACCAAGACAGUUGCCAGCUCACCUCUGGGAUCAUCAUGAAAGUAGACCUCGCAGAGAUCAAGAGGAACCUCGUCCUGACCGCCCCUAACUCCAAGCAGGGUGCCACUGCAUCGGCAUUCCAAUCAGACGAGAAAACCAAGGAAGUCGAGAUCGACGACAACGACCCAACCAAGAAAGCACGCAUUGGGGUGACCCUCUCCGACAAAUAGGAAGGUGCGCUCGUUGACUUCUUAUGCCGCAACCGAGACGUCUUUGCAUGGCAACCAUCUGACAUGCUAGGAAUCCCGAGGGAAGUCACCGAGCACCACCUCCAUAUAAAGCCGGACGUGAAGCCGGCCAAGCAACACCUACGACGCUUCGAUGAAGAGAGACGGAAGGCGAUUGGGGACGACAUCAUGAAGCUACAAGUGGCAGGGUUCAUUAAGGAAGUCUACUAUCCAGAUUGACUUGCCAAUCCUAUGCUUGUAAAUAAGAACGGGAAAUGGAGAAUGUCUGUUCACUAUACUAGCCUUAACAAGGCCUAUCCCAAAGAUCCCUUCCCCAUGCCACAAAUCGACCAAGUGAUCGAUUCGACCGCGGGAUGCGAGAUCCUAUGUUUCCUCGACGCUUACUCCAACUAUCACCAGAUAGCAAUGUCUGAACACGAUCAACUCGCCACGUCGUUCAUCACACCAUUCAGAUCGUAUUACUACAUGACAAUGCCGUUUGGUCUAAAAAAUGCCGGCGCAACUUACCAGCACUGCAUGCAGCAGUGCUUUCGCGAUCAGAUAGGGAAAAACCUCGAAGCGUACGUCGACGACAUCAUGGUAAAAUCAAAAAAGGCAUGGGACCUCGUGAGCGACCUCGAGGUCACUUUUGCUAAUCCACGAAAGAAUCACAUUAGGUUGAACCCUGAAAAAUGCGUGUUCAGAGUCCCGAAAGGGAAACUCCUAGGCUUCAUGGUUUCCGAGUGUGGCAUCGAAGCCAACGUGGAGAAGAUCUCUACGAUGCGAAACAUGGAGCCGAUCACUAACAUUAAAGGGGUACAAAGGCUCAUAGGUUGCCUCUCCUCCUUGAGAAGGUUCAUCUCAUGAUUGGGGGAACGCGGCAUGCCACUAUACAAACAACUCAAGAAAUCCGACCAAUUUCGCUGGUCGAAAGAAGCCCAGGCGGCUCUCGACAAGAUAAAAGCCUUCCUAACCACGCUGUCGGUGCUGGUCUCCCCGAUGGAGAACAAACUAAUCCUAUGGUACAUCGCUGCAACAACACAGGUCGUGAGCGCCGUGCUGAUAGUCGAACGAGAGGAGCCUGGUCACAUGUUGGCCAUUCAACGCCCGGUCUAUUUUGUCAGCGAAGUCCUGUUCGAUUCCAAGACCCGAUGCCCCAGGUUCAAAAGCUCUUGUACGCGUGCUUAUUGUGAUACGGAAACUGCAGCACUACUUCGAGUGCCAUUCGAUAUCGAUGGUAUCAAACGCACCCCUCGACGAGAUCGUGCACAAUAAGGAUGCGACCGAAUGAAUCGUGAAAUGGGAAAUUGAGCUCAUGGGGUGCGAGAUCUCUUAUGUCCCCAGAACCACGAUCAAAUCGCAGGUCCUGGCCGACUUCGACGUCGAAUGGACCGAAGUUCAAAUCCCAACUGAUCCUCAAGUACAUGAGUGCUGGACCAUGUACUUCAAUUUGAUGGGUUGGUCCAAAAAGGAGCGAGGGAUGGCAUAGUGUUGAUCUCACCGCACGGAAAUAGGCUCCGAUACACGAUCAGACUACAUCGUGGAGUAUGAAGGACUGGUUAAUGGCCUACGAAUCACCUCAGAACUGGGCGUACAAUGACUUUACAUAUUGGGUAACUCCAAGUUGGUCGUGGAUCAGGUCAUGAAAGACGCUGCUUGCCAGAAGCCAAAAAUAAAGGCCUACUGCCAAGAGGUUAGAAAAUUAGAGGACAAAUUCGAGGGGCUCGAGAUCCACCAUAUCCUCCAAAAAGAUAAUCAGGCGGUAGACGACCUGGCUAAACUCGCAUCAAGCAGAGGACUCGCCCGCGACGACAUUUUCGUCAACAACCUCCAUGAACCGUCCGUUUGACUCAAGCUGGCAGAUAAAGCGACGUCUAUCUAAACCCUGGAAGACAAGACGCGAGAGCCCACCAUACCCCCGGCUAACGAUGAUAGCCGACCCACCGUAACCAAAGCCAUGCUCAUAGCCGGCGAAGGAGAGCAAGGGAAGGAGCCCGGAAGAAGGCUUUUUCCAAAGACAGAGCAACUGGAUGUCCCGGCUGAAGGGAGGGGCCCACCACGAUCAUUCGAGAGGCAAGCGCCCAAUCAAGAAAGAGCACCACGACAACCGGAUGAUAUUACCCUCCCCAUGAGCCAUGUAUAUAAGGGCAUGGGGGGACGAGAGAGGGGAUUCGACUCCGAGCGAUACCCAUUGUUUGUAAACCCCUUCUGCAAACUUGAGCUCUUGAUAUAGAAAUAAAGGAAACGCACGACGAGCUGGACGUAGGGCGAGUUGCCUGAACCAGUAUAACCUCCCUGUCUUUCGAGAGUUAGGCCAUCUAAGACCCACGUAGCAAAUCUUUACUAGUUUACGUAUAGAAUGUCGACAAUGGCCUCGGUGGAGAUCUUGUGAUGAACAAUCAAUCAUGGUGAAGUAAUAGGUGAGUUCUGAUUCAAUAGCGAUCCAUAUGCCUCCCUUUAUCAUUUCUACUGUUAUGAGUUUGCUUAUUCCAAUCUAUGAAUGCUGUAGAUUGCAUAGGGUGUUUUUGUAGUCAUGGUGACUAGAGUUGCAUGCCUAAUCUAUCAUAACAACUAUACUUGUGCUUUAUGUUCAUGCCCUUAGACAGCUGACGCUAUCAGGUAGGAUCAUGAUAGGGUCUGUUACCGUGUAAGGUGGGGGUAUUCGGGAGUCAAACUAGAGGUGUUGGUUUCAAGUUGCUUUGAGUGAGACCCAUGUUUUGGCUUGUCAUCUAGCUAGAACUACAACAUAUGCAUAGUAUAGUCUUUACUCUAAUUGAGUUACCUUUUGUUCACGACUGCUCAUGCUUCAUGUCUAUUUAUAACCAUCUUGCAACCAGAAUCAUGUUUCUGAUGCUUAGUUAAUUUAGGACUUGUGAUCUUGUUUCCACGGAUUGAUAAAUCUUGAGGAAAUACUCUAAGAGAAAAGUUAUAACUGAUCUGUGCACUUGUGGUUCACAAACUGGCACGAUAACUACCGCCAAAAAAUAUUGGUGGGCUCGCAUUCUCCGCGAGUGCCUAGAAAUGACCAAAGGUCUUCUCUACUAUUCUUCUUCUUCCUCAUUUCCUCUUUCUUCUUCCUUUGUUCAUUCUUCUACCUAUGUCCCAACAGUGAUGCACGGUACCACACCAGGCCACACCGUCACCGCCAGCAUCCACCACCACCAGCGGCCGGCAGCAAGCCGCACUGCUUCGCCUGUCUCCCACCCCCAUCACGCCACCCCACCCUUCCCUAACCGCUGCCUUCACCCACUGGAUGACCACCACCAUCUGGUCAACAGUGCUAUCGCCACCAGCUCCGCUGCCCACAACUUGCCAUAGUGUCGGGGAUAGAUCCCCAGUACCCGAAAAGAAGGAAGAAGUCGGACUCCUACUAGAAUUUCCCUAUAAUCCUACUAGGACUCCUCCUUGUAACCGACUAGUUAUCCCGCCCCCUAGAGUAUAUAAAGAAGGGUGAGGGUACCUAGAUCGGCAGAACCAUCAUCAAUAGCCAACAACUAGGCUACUCAACACCCAAGCGCAGGACGCAAUACACAACAUCCCAAACAGGACGUAGGGUAUUACCGUACUCCGGCGGCCCGAACCUGUAUAAAUCUGUGUCUUGUGUCUUUGCUUUUAUCUUCGAGUUCCAGGUCCGGCGAUCCCCCACCGACAAAUCAACUACCUUGGGUACUCCCUCGGUAGGUUACCGGGUAUAAGACACCGACAGCUGGCGCGCCAGGUAGGGGUGAUCGUUGAGAUCAUCGGGUGAGCUUGAAGGACCUCAUCUUCAAAAUUAAUAUACUCGAUGAGAAGCAAGUCGCCGAGUUCCGAUUCGGAGCAGAGUCGAGAAGUUUGGAAAAAUAGUUGGAUCAUGGCCAAUUCUAUCAGCGAAAGAUGCCAACUCCUUUCAAGUUGAUUCCAACAAGUUUCAGACGGCAACUUCGAACUGAAUCCAUACAGCAUCCGGCGUAUCACCCAGCGUAUGAAUAUUUUGAAAACGGAGUCGAUGCGCUGCGUAUUCAAGUCAAAGACAUCGGGUCAGUAUCCGAAGCAGAAAAGGACUGCUCAAGGUGGCCACCUGCCGCUGUCGAUGAUAGAAAGCAACCCGAUGCAUGCAUCCCGCCUGAACCGAAGUCAAGACUUCUCUGAUGGGCAAGUCCGAUAUGGAGGAAUAUCAUGCUACUAUUGUCCGAUCAGUAGAGAGGAAAAAAAUACAAUCCUGCUGCAACAUGCAAACGGAGUAAUGAUUACCUUUUGAGAAUUGUUUUCUCCCGUGAGAAGCAAUUGGACAAGAAUCCUGCUAUGCACACAUGAAGGCGACCACACAAGCAAGCGUUGGACGAGAAUCGAUUUGCUUAUUCUAAUCCGAAGUGGAUCAAGGCAAGCUCCACGCGUUUUCUGUGUCACAAAGGAAUGUUUUUGCCUCUUCGCUGGAUGUACAUGGGAACGUACCAAGGAAGGCUUCAAGAUUUUCACAAAAAGAACAUAGAAGAUGUACAUGAGGAGAGCUGCAUCGACUCACCGCCGACUACUCUUAUCAACUACUUUGACGAGGCGGCUCCCCGAUGACUACUUCGACUACGCCAUGAUGCCUUAACGAUGACAACUUCGACUACUCUUCUCGACUACUUCAACAUGCGACGACUACUUCAACUUCACGAGGGCGCUCAGCAACCCACCGAUGUCUACUUUGACUACUCUUCUCAAACUACUCCGAUGGACAUCAACUUCAACUACAUCGACAUCUGGCCGCAUCGACUCAUCGGCCACUACGUCGACUACUCGUUAGCGACUACCUCGACUACUCUUCUCGACUACUUCGACGAGCGACUCACCGAUGACUACUCCGACUACGUCAUGAUGCUCGUCGAUGACUAUCUCGACCACUCAUCUCGACUAGAAAACUAGUCGAGGACGGUCUACAUCGACAAGACCGAUCUACCGACUCUCCGAUGACUACUUCAGCCUCGUGAGGGCACUCGGCAAUCCGUGGACGACUACCUCGACUACUCAUCUCGACUAGAAAACUACUCGGGGGUGGGCCUCACACCGUCAACAACUAGUCGGAAUCGACUCCGACUAGUCGGCUUCAUCAACAACUGUCACGGCUUCAUCGACGACCACCACGGCCUCAUCGACAAUUGUCCACGAAUCAAGCUAAGUCACUUUUUUAAUUAUUUUCUGGCUUGUCCUCCGCAUGCAGGGCAACACGCCGACUAUCUUUUUGUGUACGUCUCUCGAUGCGAAUUACCCUCCAGAGCUACACUUCGCCGACUACUUGCCGGAGGGCAGCAAACUCCUAAGCGCAAUCGCGCUCUCUUUUUGUCGCAAUGCCAACUACUUUUGUCUUCUCUUAGCCAUUGAUAAUCUCCUUGAGUAGAGCACACUUUAAUUCAUGAAAGCCUCAGGUGCACCUGUUACGCCUAAGUGCCAACACACAUAUACGAGACAAAGAUCUCAUACACGCAGUGGCUGCGGCUAAACAGAGACUGAGAGCCUAAACGUAACAUGCUACCUACUCGGGAGAGAUAUGGUCAAAAUAAGAGCAUGACACACAAUAUUUUAUUGAUCAUUGCAUAAAUUUCAGUAAGUUCAAUAUUCAACAAAUAUGCUACAUAAUUUAUGCAUCUUUUCUUUCAUAUCACACUUCGAUGACGACGCUCGAAGAUGCUAAGCGUACCUCCAAAGGCACAGACUAGUUUCCAAACUCGGGGGCUAAGCGCCAAUCAGUACUCGGACCUACUUCCGGUGGCUCCGCUAGUUCCCAAACUCGGGGGCUAAGCACCAAUUACUACUCGGGAUAUCUCCAAUGGCUUAGCUAGCUUCCAAGCUCUGGGACUAAGCACCAAUAACUACUCGACGUGGCUUCUACGGCUCACCUAAUGCAUAAGUUUGGGGGCUGGACGCCGCAAGACUACUUGGAUGAUGACUUGAGUGAAGAUUCAAAAUCCUUGAAUUAAUUAUUCAAUCAAUUCAAGGCUCGGAGGCUGAUAAGCUACACCCAAGAUUUUUUCAAGCUGAAAGAAGAUUCAAGAUUUUGACCCUCAGCCUGAUUCUACGAUUCAACUAAGGCUCGGGGGCUACUCUAUAUGGAGUGCGACUUUCGCCGCCCUCCAUAUAUGAAGACUACGAUAUCAAGAUGAUCAAGGCUUUGACCAAACCAUAGCCUCAUGGCAGAUUUGAGAAACUUUGAAGAUUUAGCCGGAUAAAGUACUCGAAGACUACCAAAACUACUUGGCAAAGAUCUUAAAACUACUUGAAGACUGCUGCAUUCAACUAUGAAGCACUUGGGGGCUUGUCGGGGAUAGAUCCCCAGUACCUGAAAAGAAGUAAGAAGUCGGACUCCUACUAGGAUUCCCCUAUAAUCCUACUAGGACUGAUCCCAUAUAAUCCUACUAGGACUCCUCCUUGUAACCGACUAGUUAUCCCUCCCCCUAGAGUAUAUAAAGGAGGGCGAGGGUACCUAGAUCGGCAGAACCAUCAUCAAUAGCCAACAACUAGGCUACUCAACACCCAAGCGCAGGGCGCAAUACACAAUAUCCCAAACAGGACGUAGGGUAUUAUCAGGGUUGGUCCUGAGAUUUGGGAUGCCCGAGGCGAAAGGAAACUCGGGACCCUUUCAUAUAAACAUUAUAACAAAUGUAUAUAAAAUAUUACCAAUAAUUACUUAAAUGUAUCUAAAAGCAAUAUUCAUAUCAAAUUAUACAUAUUACCUCAAAAGUUUCUCUAACAUUCCUCGAUGCAAAGUCACUUAUGAUAGGGUUGAUGUCAAUGUCAUCCAACAAUUUCUUCUCGAUGCAUAAUGUUGCCAAACAAUUUAACCUCUCUUGAGUCAUUGUUGACCUCAAAUAGUUCCUCAAUAACUUCAACAUUGAAAAGCUUCUUUCAGCCGAUGCGUCAGUCAUAGGCAUAGUAAAUAAGAGUCAGUAAGCAAUGGAGAUAUUAGGAUAACAAUUCACAUCUCUGACAUGCUCAAAAAUCUCCAUAGCAGACAUUACACCAUCUAGUAAAGUGAAUUUCAUAAUCUUUAAUUCAGAAAUAAGAUCAUAUAUCUCAACAUUAGAUGAACCAUCAAAAGAAAAAGUUUCUGCAAAUUUAGUGCAACAUUCUUCAAGUUCAUUAUCAUUUAAUGACUUCAAAGUGCUUGAGCUCAUCAAAAAUCCGAGCAUAUCUUUAAACACCAUGAGUUCUUCAAAUAUGUUCUUCAAAGAAGCGAUGGCUAUAUCAACCAAAACAAAAAAAAACAUUCAACUUCAAAAGCCUUCUCAGCUUCAAGAAUUUCUUCUUGGCAAUUACUUUCAUCAAUCUGUUUCUUCGUCGUAGCACGACAUUUUUCUAGAAAUGAUGCCUCUACACCCAUGUCUGUUGCAAUACCUUUGGUGAUGAUCAGACUAGAAGAAAACCCCUCAUUUCUGUAAUUCUCAAAGUAUUGCAUUAUACCUUGUAUUUGCUUCAAAGUAGAGUCAAUGCACAUGGCUGGCGAUUGCAACUUCAUGCUCACUUUAUUUACAGCAAAUAAAAUAUCAUGCCAAAUAACCAUACUAAGUAGAAACUCAAAGCUAUCAAGUGCAUCAAAUAAAUUUUUUGCAUCACUUCUAUCCUUAGGUUCAAUGUCAGAAGUAUGAUGUAACUCAGACAAAGCAUAUCUUAACUCAGUUGCUUGAUAUCUUAUUGUUGUAACACUUUUGAUUCGACUCUCCCAACGAGUAUUGGACAAUGAUUUCACAGUUAGACUAGGAACAUGUUUAAGCAAAACAUUCCACCUUUUUUAGAACCAGCAAAUAAAUGCAUAUAUGCGUUGAACAAUUCCAAAAAAUGAAAUAGCUUUUCCACUAGAUUUUUUUCAUAUCACAAAGAGUAAGAUUUAGACUAUGGCACGCACAUGGCAUAUACAAUGCUCUUGGAUUGAUAUCAAGUAACCAUGUUUUUACCCCUUUGUAUUUUAUUUUCAUAUUAGAACCAUUGUCAUAGCCUUGACCCCUUAUGUCACUAAUAUUUAAGCCAAAGGACUUCAUAGAUUCAAGCAAUACAUUAAACAGCCCCAAACCAGAUGUGUCAUCCACCUUCAAGAACCCCAAAAAGUACUCCUCAAUUUUUAUCUUGCCAUCAGACAAAUUAACACAUCAAACUAAUAAAGUCAUUUGUUCUUGAUGACUGACAUCAGGGGUACAAUCUAGAAUAACAAAGAAAUAUUUGGCCUCUUUAACAACCUUUAUGAUAGAACUUGUGAUAUCAUAAGCUAAAAGAGAUAUCAACUCAUUCUGAAUUUUAUGACUGAGAUAAUGAUAAUGAAUUUCUUUGUUCUGAAUACGUCUAAGGUGGUCUUGCAUUACCAAGUCAAAUUUUGCAAUCAUCUCAACACAAGCUAAGAAAUUACCAUUACUAUCAUUAUAAAGCUGCUCACUGGUUCCUCUGAAAGCCAAAUUGCAUUUACCAAGAAAUUUCACAAUGGCUAUUAUUCUUAACAAAACUUGCCUCAACCGUUCUUUUUCUUUUGUGAUUUGCUGCUGUAAUUUUUUGUCAAUUGUUUCCUUUUUCGGCAAUCUAGCUCUCAAAUCAUUCCAACUGUUCAUGUUACUAAUAUGCUCGAUACUAUUUUCAUGUUCUCUAAGCUUCUCACUGACAUGCUUCCAAUUUCUUAACCCAUCACCUGCUAAGGAACUAGGACUCUUGCUAGUGCUAGACUCGAAGAUCUUACAACAGAAAUAAAAAACUUUAUCAACAUACUUCGAAUAAACUAACCAUUUUCUAUCAUGUACCUCUCCAUUGCUUAAUUUUCUAGAAUAAUGAGCAUAUGAAAAAUGUCUUGAGGCAGCAUCUAGAGGAAAUUUGAUAUUUUCUUCUCUUAUAGGCCCUUUCUCGACUAAUAUGUCUCUUGCUUUAUUAUCAAGCUUAUCCCAAUUUCUUGGAUCAUAAAUAUCUGAAGUGUAAACUGGUUCCUCAUCAACACUAGCAGACUGUGCAUAUGCACCUGAUGUAUUUACUAUGUUCUCAGAGUCACUUACAUUGUUAUCAUCGACAUUGAUGUUAACAUUUUCUUCCUGAUUCCCAUUAGUUGGUUCACCAGCAACAAUUAUUGCCAACUCAUCUGGGUUCGUCGAAGCACCCGUAUUACUCUCAGGGCUCUAAUAACUCUUGCAAAAUUUAUCCAUAGCUUCUCUCUGUAAUUCUAUCAACUCAUCCACACGUCUUUUCCUUUUUCUUUUCUCGUAGCCUGAUUCGUAUUUUCUAAACGACAUGAUAUCCCACCAUGCUGAAAUUAUUAUAAAUACACAAUAGUUAUAAAUCAGUUGAGAUUAAAUAACUUGUGAUAGUGAAUUAAUAAUUAAUGGUAUGAAGAAUUGGGGAAUUGGCAAUCAAGCAGCGUACCUGGGUGCUGGCGCAGUCGAACAAGAACAGCCUGAUCUUGUCUGGCGUAGUCGAACGAGAGGAUCAGCAACAACACGCGCACAAGUCACGACUCCGGAGGUGAUCGCGCGCGCAUACAGCGGGAGCAGAGGCACAGCACACGUGCGUCGGCGGCUGCAGCGUUGUGGUACUCGUGCGUCGUGCACGCAUGUGGCGGCGGCGGUACUCGAGUGCGUCAAUGUGAUCUGCGGUAGCGUAGCAUUUUGCCUGGCGAUCUAACGUCUCCUUUAGGCCUGGCGCCCUGGCCUGGCGAUUAGCUUUAGGCCUGGCGAUCUGAUGUUUUUAAGUCCUUUAGGCAAUUAUGGCCUACAGGCCUGGCGAUCGGUCAAGUUGGGCUGUUGGCCUUUAGACCGGCAGCUGACAAGAUGAUGUACUGUCACCUAAUGCCUGGGGUGGGGCCCCUGUGAUUUGGGGGCCAGGGCAGCCGCCCCCUGCCCCCCAAGGUCGGUCCUGGGUAUUACGCUACUCCGGCGGCCCGAACCUGUAUAAAUCCGUAUCUUGUGUCUUCAUUUUUACCUUCGAGUUUCAGAUCCGGCGAUCCCCCACCGACAAAUCGACUACCUCGGGUACUCCCUCGAUAGAUUGCCGGGUAUAAAACACCGACACAUAGCGCCUCUCCUACUGCUGCCGACGACCUUCCCUUUAAACAUACCGACUAUUAAAGCCCAAAAUAUCGAAAAACCAAGCCACUUCUCCGCACCUUGCCCCACCACCGCUAGCUUCGACCUCCACGGCUCCACCCAUGGCACCACGCUAUUCUGCCCACCAACCGCCUGAUAGCCCCACAACCGCUGGCCUCCAACCAAAACCCCUAACCUUCUUCUUCGAUUUUGGUGCGUUGCAUCUCGCUGGUGUUGGUGGCCGCCAGCCAGCGAUCUAUUUUUUUUUUUGGGCAGGGAUUGGAGAGGGAGUGAAGGAUUUGGAAGCUGCAGGCAAGAGGAGGAAGACAACUCCCUCGGCGGAAUGGGUAACAAAACGCACGGACGAGGAUUCUUGCAUGUGCGUUCCAACUGGUUGGGUCCACCAUUCGCUGCUAGCAAGUCCCGACGCUCGUUCGCUAAAAAAGAUGUGGGAAUCCCGAGGAAACCACCUGACAGGGUUUUAGCAGAAUUACAACAACUGGAUCGUCUGCAAUCCGUACGCUUUUGGUUUGUGACUUGAUUUUGUGUCAAUAGUAUUCUAGUCGAUAUCAAUGCGCUCCAUUAGCGCACUAGUCCAGCGGAGGAGGUCUAUCCCGUCUGUUUUUAGCUAUGAUGAACCCGUAUCUAUCCCGCAUUAGUAUGUAUCUAGCUCUACCUCAAUACCCUUAUGACCCGAGAAGUUAGGCUAGCUAUAUGUUUCCUGAAAGAUCAUUAAUUAGCCUAAGAGUACUUAGAGGUACCAAAACGUGGUUGGCAACUAGCAGGAAAAAAAGCAACAAUAUCGUGUGCGUGUGUACGAAAGUAUGAGUUCCCGUUUAAGUAUGCGGUUCCCGCUCGUUUUUAGUCCCGUUCAUCCUGCUCUCGCUCCGGUUCCCGACUAUUCCAGAUUCAUCCGGUUUUCGAUGAUAAAAUAUGGGAAUGAAAAUGGGAGAGAGGUUGUCCCACAUGUUCCCCUCCGUUUUCACCUCUUCAGUCCAGUGCCAUAACCGCCAAAACAACUGCAUCAACGUAGACGGUCUGCCACUAUGGUUAUACAGCCGCAGUUGAUAGGGCUGCGUUCUGAUAUCGCAAACUAUAAACGGAGAUUAUCGAUGUUUGGAGUUUGGACAAAGCGGUCGUGCGCGGUGCGCGUAAGGUUGUGGUUACUGUGACUGCCAAUCUUGCGAAUAUGAUGCCGCUUCCACCAGCGCAUUGGAUGAUGAACCAGCUGGCGCUUCCCGUCGCGCGGUCUUCCUUACGGCAGGCAUUACACAGACACCGGAACACGGUAAGGUUGGUCUCGCUGGUAUGCUCUGGGCCGGGGGAGCAUAACACCGACCGCGACGCCGCGGGCGGAUGAGCUGGUUGCUUCGCGUCUUGCUCAUCCCCCGUGCAAGUCUCGCAAGGCCGCAGACCUCCGCACAGGCACUCGGAACUCAAAUCGGCUCGACCUCACGGCGCGUUUCGGGGGAGCGCACGCGGCCGCCUGCCGUGCCUCACUUUUGGUCGGCCGGCCGGUGCGUGACCGGCGGUAGCUCAAACCCGUUGCUGAUGAUGAUACAUUUCGGUUGACGUUGACUGAACAAGGCUCGAUCUUUACGGUACGAUCACGAGCUCUCGCCACGGAGAUUCUACGUGCCAAGCAACGUGGAAUGAAACCUGGGCACCCGGCCACGCAGCAAACCGGUAAACCAUCGCGCUUUGCUGCAAAGUGCCAUUGACUUCACCCGAUAAAAUCUUCGUUUCAUGCAGAUUUUAGCUUCGCAGUCAGGCAAAUGUGAACAUGCGUAGCAAGGUCAGAUCGAGAGAUUGCCCUACGGAGCAGGAAGCGUCACGUGCGGUGUCGUCUGGAUCCUUUGCAUUGCGAUGGCCUAUAAAUCAGGUGCUCGUCACGCAGCUGCUCACCAGUCAUACGUGGCAAUCUGUCCCAUGAUCUUUACUAACUAGUGUUGAGUAGUGAUCACUGAUCUCAACUCCUUUCGAGUAGCAUCAGAACAAUGGCUUCUUGCAACCUGUUCGAUGCAAGGACGCUACUGACGGUGGCACUGGUCAUGGCAAGCCUGCCCGAGUUCUCUCUCGGCGCGCGGCGGCUGCCGGAUCGGCUGGCGGAGACCACCGCGCUCGGCGACGGCAUCUCGUACCACGGCGGCGCCGUGCUCCGCGGCGAAAUCCCGGUCUCCAUCGUCUGGUACGGGCAGUUCAAGCCGUCGCAGAAGGCCAUCGUCGUCGACUUCCUCCUCUCCCUCACGUCCGUCCCCGCCAACGCGACGCCGUCGGCGGCGCAAUGGUGGCGCACCAUCGACAGGGCGUACCUAUCCAACGCGACGACGAACGCCACGCGCGUCGUCCUCGCCGGCCAGGUCGCCGACGAGCAGUACUCGCUCGGCAAGUCCCUGACGCUGGUCGAGGUCUUCCAGCUCGCGGCCGCGCUGGUCCCCGGCGCCGGCGCUCUCGUGCUGGUGCUCACGGACCCGGGCGUGUCCGUCGAGGGCUUCUGCAGCGCGCGGUGCGGGCUCCACGGCUCCGACGACGCGGGCGCCGGGUACGCCUACGUCUGGGUGGGCAACGCCGAGUCGCAGUGCCCCGGGCAGUGCGCGUGGCCGUUCGCGGAGCCCGCGUACGGGCCGCGGGGCCAGCCGCCGCUCACCCCGCCCAACGGCGACGUCGGCGUGGACGGCAUGGUGCUGACGCUCGCCAGCACGGUGGCCGGCGCCGUGACCAACCCGCUGGGCGACGGGUACUACGAGGGCGCCAGGGACGCCGCGCUGGAGGCCUGCACGGCGUGCGCCGGCAAGUUUGGGAGCGGCGCGUACCCCGGGUACCCCGGGAAGGUGCUCCUGGACGAGACGACCGGCGGCAGCUACAACGCCGUUGGCGCCAACGGACGGAAGUACCUGCUCCCGGCCGUCUUCGACCCGGCGACGUCCGCUUGCUCUACUUUGGUGUAGAACGCACGUUGAGUCGGUAUUUCAUGAAGGUGUACAUAGAUAAGUAUACGGACGCUGUAGUAGUGAGAACUUCGAGCUCGUGAUGGGGGUACUCCAAUAAGUACAUUAUACAAUGUUUUCUUGAGUUAUGACGUUGUUCAUUAUCUUGUCCCGGUUUACACGAUUUUCUUUCAUUCUAUCUUAUCACUUUAUCUUUCUGUAAAUUCUUUUGGGGUUUUUGUAUGUCUGAGCUAUCUUUGCAAAAAUACAGUCACGAUGAAGACGAUUGGAAACAAAGCGGCCACUAUUUUGAUACGUUUGAACAAGCCCAACGGUCCUUCUUAAGGGCCUCGCAUUUGUACGGGUUCAACAAGCCCAACAAAAGUAGACUUCCAGGAAACCAAUGGGCCACUUAUAUACUAUACGGCCGCUCUCGCAGGCGCGUGCACGGGCCACAAACGCUAAUUCAACGGCAAGACACCGCGUGAAUGGAUUGAUGGUGGCGGUGGUGUGUGGUGGGAGCCGCCGCCUCUCGCUGGCCAAGCGGCCUGGCACACGUCGGCGGCAGUGGGCCGCCAUGUCGCCGAGAACGUCGGCCGGCGCGGCGCGGCCCCCAGCUCCAGUCCACGAGCCACUCGCGACGUUUCUUGACCUGCCGAGCGGUGGCGGCACAGCCCCGAGCGCGCGUGAGGCGGCGGCGCGCGCCACAUGGCCGCUCCGGCGCUGAGGCGGCGGGCGACGCCCUCCGCCUUUUCGCUCCGGCCACGACCACGUUUCGGUUAAAGAAGCACGCCGGCCGUCGCUUUCGCGACCGGCCAGCCAGAACCCCAGGACCGAUCGGCCACACCGUGACGCGUGGGGACACGGUCGGCGGCGGGCGCGAGUCCGGUCAGAGCCUCGGAUUAUAUUUAACGCAGUAGGUUCGGUCCGGAGCCUAUGAUUGAUCGUUGCCCGUCGACCGGAAAUUCGUGGGUCGGAGCUCGUACCAUUGUUUUUUGUUUAGUCCUAGCAACACGUGUAGUGGGGGGCUGUUUGUGACAAGGCUGUCUUCUUUCUUGUCUCGUUUCGCACUCGCCGUUGCUUUUUGCCCCGGGAAGUACAAGACCCUGACGAGGACCUCCGACCCGACCAAAGCUCAGGCCGUCAUGCUCAGGCGGGCUGUAGUAUCCCUGCCGAGAACUCUGCUGAUGCUAGAGGUUUUGUGAUAUCGCACGUGUCAAACCGGACAUCAGUAAUCAGUUUCCGACCAGUUUAAUCAGGCAAUUGAUAAUGCAAGUACCAUGCUGACCAGCUGACAGGAGCUCGGCUCCCUGCGCGUGGGCACAUGGUUUUUGAAGGAGCCCAAGCAAAGCAUCUGCUGAGUUCCUGACAAAUUCGUCCACUAAUGUUGACAUCGAGACAUGCAAUCAAUCUACUACGAUACAAAAUACUAGAAUUUCUUUUCUUGACCGAGCUGAAACGAAACACCGCUGCGUGUACGAAACCAGACACUACGGCUUCCGUCAUCAUGCUCUUACUCAGCAACCAGAUAAGAGCUGACGACCGGCCGACGACUAGAGGCGGCGUCCAUCAAAGCGAGGUGCGCGUGCAUCAUCGCGUCAUGGGUCACCGGCCGUCCAAGCGUCCGCGUCCGCGUCGCCCACCCGGAGCUCCUCGACCAGCCUGCGGAGGCUCUCGUACGACGACCCGCCGGGCGCCGUGGCCGCCUCGGCCGCGGCCUUCCACCUCGCCGCGUUGCGCCUCAUCUCCCUGGCCCUCCCCGUGUCCCCCAUCAGCUCCUCGACGUGCGCCGCGACCUGCUCCCGCCGCAGCGCCUCGUCGAGGCGGAGCCCGAUGCCCCAGUCCCCGCACGUGUACCGGGAGUUGAUGUACUGGUCGGCGAACCCGGGCCAGCACACCAUGGGCACCCCCGACAGGAUGCUCUCCGUCGUCGAGUUCCACCCGCUGUGCGUCAGGAACCCGCCCACGGCGGGGUGCCGGAGCACCUGCUCCUGCGCGCACCACUCGGCGAUGAAGCACCGGCCCCUCGUCGCCGCCAGGAAGUCCUCCGGGAGCGCGUCGGCGCCGCGGUCACCGGCGACGAGUCCCGGGCGGACGGCCCAGAGGAACGGGCGCCCGGUGGCGGCGAGCCCCCACGCGAGCUCCUCGAGCUGGUCCAGCGACAGCACGGCCAGGGACCCGAAGCUGACGUACAGGACCGACCCGGGCGCCUGCGCGUCCAGCCACGCCACGCACGCCGCGUCCUCCUCCCACAGGCUCAGCCCCGCCGCGCCGUGGCCAUGGCCAUGCGCGGAGUGCAUGGCGGCGGCCAGGGGCCCGAUGGUGUACACCCGCGGGAACUCGGCCCGGAGCGCGUCGAGCACGUCGGGCUCGAGGUCCUCGAACGUGUUGAGGAUGAGGCCCCGCGCCCGGGCGCAGCUGUUGGCUUCGUCUUCCUCCACGCGCAGCGCGAAGCAUUGCGGGUCCAGCGUCCGGACGAAGCUGGAGAUGUCGCCCAGCCGCACCGGCGGGAUCCCGGCGAUCCAGUCGAUGGGCGUGUCAAGGUACCCGUUCGUCAAGUAGCUCUCGUCUGCCAUUAUUGCGACAGGUGCACACGAAUUAGGAAUUACUAGGAUCGUCGUCAUCAUUCCAGAUUUCCAUGCAAGAAAAUAGGCAUUCAUGUGCAUGCAUCGAUCAUGCAAGCAAUCAUCAAGCAGGAUGGACUCGACGGCGACCGAUCGUUCGAUCACCGUGUCACAUGUAUACGGACCUUUGAGCGGCGUGUAUCCCCGCUGCCGGAGCUGGCGUAGCCGGAGCGUGCAGACGAAGCCGCAUGCGCUGGUGCCCCACAGCACGAACGCCGGGACGCCGGCCUCCUCGGCGGCGUCGAGCGCGAAGCUGACGAGGCCGCUGAGCACGACGCAGGUGACGGGCGGGACGCCCUCCCGCUCCCCGAUGAGCCCCCGCGCCAGCGCCGCCAGCGGCGCGCCGCAGCUCCGCCGCAGGGACAGGUACAGCUUCACUGUAUGGUCGGGGCUCCGGCGGUCCUCCUCCGACAGGCCGUCGGGCACCGACUCGAACCGGAACCCCUCCCGCCCCCGCAGCCCGCCCGCCGUCCGCAGCAGCCGCUCGUGGUUGUGCUCCGUGUUGACGAAGGUCACGUACACCCCGCGCGAGUGCAGCAGCUCCGCCAGCUUCAGCGUCGGGUUGAUGUGCCCCGAGCACGGGAACGGGAACAGCAUCGCGUGCGCCCUCCUCUCCAUGGCCGGCCUGCGACGACGACGACGACGCGAGCGCGCACGGCUUCUUGCUUGCGACUAGGAGUGGUGAAGGAAGAAAUGGGCGGGGUUGGGGACUGGCCGGAGGGUCUAAAUAGGCCAAGGAGGGAGGCAAGGAGCGAGCGGUCGCCGUCGUGGCCGCCGCGGGUACCGAAGCGGAUAUAUCUGCGGGGGAUGGCCCCUGGAUUUGGUCGUCGCGAUCGAUAUAUUCACGGUCUACUAGACAAGAUCACUGGCCAAGUUGCGGCCGGCUCCCUCGAUCGUCUAGUCUUCGAUCUGCCGGAUCGUACUCGCACCGUUCCUGAUGCGAGUGAGGAUAAUAAAGCCAGUCGAUAUUCGGUGCCUUGUCUCUCAGCCUUUUUGACUUCCAGAAAGAUUGUUGUGUACUGUCGCGGGGAGUAGUAACUAGCAAGCGUAUGCAUGAGCACAUCUCGACGGUGAUGUCCGCUGAGUUUUGCAGUUUUUUUUUCUGAUGUGGCACCGGCGCCGGCGGAGCUGACGUACAGCGCGCGGCCGCAAGCGCUAGGCUUUGCACGGCAUGAAGGCCGCAAGCGGUGGCGCCGAGCUCCGCUGCUACAUCCAGCGCGAGCCCCUCUUCUAAUCUCAAAUUACUAUUUAUUUUGAUUUUUACAGAUACAUAGUUUUUACAACGUAUCUAGACAUAAUAUAAUAUAUAUCUAGGUGCAUGCUAGAAAAGUUAAAAUGAAUAAACGAAUAAUAAUUUAGAACGUUGGGAAUAUAUCCGAGCUCGAUGGACGGAAGCCAUUAUGCUGGGCGCUGUUUUUCCUUGAUUAAUAAUAUUCUUGAUCACGGUUGCAUUAGGUGUGCUUUGAAGCAUCUUAACCGCCUCGCUGAUCCCCAACCACCACAAUGCAAAUUACCAAAAUGCACGAAGGUGGAAGAAAAUAAAGUUAUCUAGCCAUGUUUAUUGUUUAGCAACCAUUACUUUUACGAGCUUCAGCAUGGUACUUGUAUUUAAUACUGUGAUAAAAAAAAGGAAACUCCUACUUUCUCACCAAAUUAUUUUCGGGGCACUUGAAUUAAUCACUUUAUUAAUCUUUCGUCCCACUAUUAUUCUCUUUAAGUAUUGUUACCGAAGGGAUCACUUCACUUGCUAACAGCAUUAUGUAUUUUGAAACGAUAACAACAUUAUAUUUUCCUUCUUUAGAACCAUGUUUUAAGAAUAAUCCAAUCCAUGGUCAUUAAUUAACUGCAGCGGUUAAGAAACUCGUAUAUAAAAAUGCACGAAAACAAUCACGGUAGAUUACGAACAUAUUUUGCAGCAUGGUAUUAUACAGUGACGACACUCGUAUCUUCAAGCAUAUGGCUCAAUCUAAUACAUGGUGGAUCGGAGUUGCUAGUGCCUGGAGGAAGUGGAAUGGAGUUGGUGGCCAGAUCACAUAGUAUAUGGCUCAUUUUGGAUACGUUUUGAUCAUCAUUAUAUUUUUGAGUGUUUUAAAUUAACUUGCAGAAAUAGUGCGGCGAAGUUCGUCUUCAACGGUCAUCAGUCUGAAACGAUAAUUUUUUAUGACAGUAGGGAGUAGCUGGUGAGACAGACCACACUAUUUAGGAACUAAGAGCUUCUUUGGUGUUGCUCCGACUCCGCUUCUCCUACGAUUUUUGCUGGACCCUUACCAAACAGAGAAGUUAAAAAACCUCCACGCGUAAAUCUGCAACAGUUUUAUGGGAAAAAAAUAGCUCAUCCACGGCGGAGUCAUACCAAAGGAGGUCCAGCGAGAGGAUGCUGAUACAAACUCUCGCGUCACUCCGGUUCGAGAUGCUUCGAACUGACAUUUGGGAGCCCUUCCCCAUUUCCAUACAAAGAAUGUUUAUAUAAGACAAGAAUUGCUUACUUCCUCAUAGCUUGGGUUUAAACUAUGACAUGACCACAACUGCCCUUUGUGGACAAGCUUCAACUUUUAAGAAUUGGUCCGGCGCAUGUCCGGAUACUCUGCGCAGGUUAGGUGCAUCGCGCCUGUGAUUCGAGGCUUGUCCGUACUCUAUACUCUCCGAAGCUUUGAUUAGGACGGCGAUCAUUGGAGCAAACCUUUUUACUUGCUCAAUUUCACCUGCCCGUUUGGCGUCGCGCUAAAUGCUCUCUAGCCUUUUUACUUGCUCGGUUUCUUUCACCUAAUGCUCUUUACCUAUCGCCACUACCGUUUGAAGGACGACCGUGUCGGAUACCGGACUACGAAUCCCGGACGUAUCCGUUCUAGCAUAAAAAAAAACGGCUGGUGAUUGAAUCGAUUAGAAAACUCUAAACUUUGACGAUCUCUUUUUGAAAGGCAGGAGCUCUGUCUAAUAAAUUCAAGUAAAGAAAGAAACGUUUUUUUUGCACCACGACGUCAUCGGCCGAACUUUGAUCUCUUCUAAGUAUCCAAUUCAGCAACAAUUUUCUGGGAACUUGCAAAGCGAAAUCGAGGCAUUGUUUGGUUGAGCAAAUUGAGCACAUGAUUAGAGCUUAACGGAAGGACCGUCACAGGAAAUUCUGGCUACAAGAGUUUCGGCCCUCGCGGCGGGGAGCACACACACGUCCGGGACGCGUCGGUUGUGGGUUCUCAUCGUGGUGUUGUGUGUGGACCUGGCUUCUUGAGAAGAAACCAUAUCAUGAGCUGGGCUGUACCACGGGUUCGCUCGGAGACCAGCAGUGUUGGGCUUCUCAUCUCAUUUGCUCCUUUUUAUGAUGUUUCCCCUUACAAAUCCUAGAUGAAAAUAUAGCUAAAAAUGGAAAACAAAUGGAGACAUAAAAAUUCCUGGAGCAAAACUUAUUAUACUGGAGACUGCACCAAUAACAGCGAAAUAAUCCGAACCCUGCCUAAGCGAAAUCCUGAGAUGUUGAUACGAAACCCAGUUUGGCUUUACAACGGAUUCACCGAGGGACAACUUUGCCGAAACUCAUAAAAGAAUGGGGGAACAAUGAAGAAAAAACGAAAUGUCUGUCGUUUGUUUCUGGAGUCAACAUCCUGAGAGACUGUUACAGACCAUCAAUAACUUCGUCCGCAGCAGAUCGAUGGAGGCUUCUUUUUCUUCGGCCCAAAAAAAAGUUGGUUAAUUUCAAGGUUUGUUGAAUCCAAUGGUUUUUUUAAUCUUCAGCUGGCCUUGAGCUCUUGAUCAGGCACCCGGAGCACUGCUCGCGUUUGUCACUCGAGCUGCAGAGGUAGCGGCCUGAUCAGCUGGCUGCGAUUCUGCAACAUUUCAGUAGCAAAAACAGCAUCAGUUACUACUAUCUUGUAGUAAAAGUGUAAAACUUUCUAAGGAAUUUGUGGCAAAAACACAAGAGAUGCAAACAUCCAUACCUGUUGUGUUGGGAGGCAGUACUGACAAAGCUUGGGGCGGCGGCAACUGAAGCCUGAAGUUGGGCGGAAGCGAAGGAGCGGGAAAGAAGGAGCUCUGAAUCUGUGGCGUCGGGUGCUGCAGCAACGGUUGCAUUGCGACCUGCUGUGCCGCCGGGGGAUGUUGCGCCAACGGUUGCACGGCGACCUGCUGCGCCGGCGGUGGCGGAGGGAGUAGUGGCCUCGGCGUCGGAGCCGGAGGCGCCAUGUACCCGACGUACUGGUGGUAGGGUGACGCCGUCGGCGAGGUCAGGCCAUACAUCUGAGGGUAGUAGUUCUGCAGCACUUGCGGAUUGGCCAUUGCCUGCUUAUUCAUCAGUUAUCAAACAUGUGAAAUUAGCCUCGAGUUGGUUAGAGCAGAGUGAAUCAAUAACAAAGUUGCUGCAGCUCCUUUUCUUCAGAAAGCAAAUCGUCAAUGCAAAAUAUGACUCUGGGGUCCCUAGCUAGGCAUGUGCACUGACAAGUGGCACUGUCAAAUUUGCAUGUGAGUAAAGGUAAAAACAAAGGGGAUGGGGGGAGCAUGCUUACCUGUGGGUAUUGAAAGUCAGGUGGGUACCAGUACCUGCAAAAGUUUUUGCAGCUUCUUCAGUGGCUGAUUUUAGACUGGAAAAGGAAGGGUUUGCCCACAUCUGGCUCAACUUAUCCACUACUACCACCACACAGUACAUGCAAAGGCUGUAAAGGCCAGAAUCUAGAUCAUUGAUCUACAUUCCUACCCCAGAACUAGGACUAUAUCAUGAGGAGAAAUGUUCCAUUCUACAGUUAAGGUGAGGGUAGAGGAUGAACUCAUCAAGAAAACAACAGAAGCAUGAGGUACCGCAUUUUCAAAGUCCCAAUCUUAAGAGACCCAAACAGAUUAUAAGGGUGUUGUACUGAUCUAGCAUGUAAUUGUGAAAGAAAUGGUGUUGAUGCCUCUCCUACUAUCAUACAGGAGUCAUUAAACCCUGCGUCACACCAACAAGUGCAGGGAGUGUUUUGUUGGCAGUGGAGGCAGACACCCUGCCUGCAUACGGGUGAAAGAGACCUACACAGCAAUGGCUGUGUGCGUGGGGGGACCGAGCUCCUUUUCCAGGGAUUCAGAGUUGAAUGCCUAGAUGCUGCCGUGUCGCCCCCAUGGGCGACGACGAUCAGAGCUCGGUUAUCAUUCACCGGUACAUCAACUGAAUUUAUACGGAAUUCAGAAACCAUAAUCCUUGGAGAACUCUCAACUAGUAGUAAAAAUAUCAUAUACUGCCUGUUCUAUCAUCCUCUCUACCUGUGUCUUGGUGAGUUCGAGCAGUGUGUGAUUUGGCAAGCGAAGAAGUGGAUAGCCAGAGACUGACAGGGGCACAGGGUACUCACCCGAACUGAGACGGGUAGAUCGCAGCCGGGCCACCGCCGUGCUGGGGCAUCAUCUGGGGAGAGGCCGGUGCCCUGGGGAUGAAGUGCGGGCCCUGGGCCGGGACCUGCAAGUGGGGCCCUGGAUAUGGCCCCCUGCUGCCUGUAACAACAAUUACCUGCCAUGUUAUUGGCUGCAGACGUAGAGAGUGGGAGAGGGAGAAAGGGAAAGCAACAACACCAUACGAAUAAAUGGGCUGCGCUGCAGAAAAAUUCAGGCCAUGAGCGCGCGCAACGCAAGGGGUAAAAACCGACAGCACCGUUCGCUUCCGUCUGCGCGUGCAGGCCGCAGGCAUGUGCGACCCGCGCCGAUACGUUACGCUCCCGCGGUUCGCCGCUUUGACCGAGCUCGCCGGGCGCCCGGUCGACUCGUCGGUCGUCGCCGUCGCCUGCUGUUUUCGCGCUCGCCCCUUUUCAGUUUUUCGCAAGCCGGGCAGACAAGGCUACCUACCAGGCUACGAGCAGCCUACUGUGCAACUCCAACGGCACCAAAAAGCGUAGCGUAAACUGAAAACUAGCCAGGCGCGUGCGCUACAGGCCCACAGGAGCAGUGGAGGUGGAGCACCGGUUCUUAUUUCUCACAGCAACGCGUUCGCGUCUUCAGGUUCGCUUCGCUCCUGCCGGACACUGCGGAGUAAUGAAACCUGCAGCAACAAUGCGGCGGCAACAAUGCGCGGUGGUACUACGGAGGAACAGGGAAUUAGUUGGUCAAGGACGCUGUCCGCAGCGAAUCCAAUCUUGGAUUUGCGUCGCGUUGUUGGCUCCGAAACGCUCCAAACCAAGAACAGUCAGUCAGGCCGUCAGGGCUCCCAGAAGGCCAGGAACCGGCUUGGUCCGGUCAAAGAGGAUAUACGCGACCGCGAGUAUUCUAAGUUUCUAACAUGUUUUUCUAAGGCCAGGCGUUGUUCACUAGGGAUUGUUCCUGAUCCUGAUUCUCCCCUCCACUAGAUGGAGGGGGCCUGGCCACCAGGCCAGUGGCCACAAGACCACCGUCCCCGGCCGCCCAUGGCCUUUACACCUCGUUCCCGCUGGCACCGAUGGCUGAGGGGGUGAAGUGAACUGGCCGCAACCGACCGACCGGCCGGCCUCACCAACACGUCCGGUCAAAGCGAGAAUCCUCCCCGGCGAUUAAACUACCCGGCGGAAAGCCAAAAGAAACCCCAAAGAAAUCGGGAGGGGGACUGUGGAUGGGGCGAGCCCAUAACUGCCGUUCUAACUGCCAGUUGGUCUGCGGCGAUAGAAAAAAAAAAGGGGAAUUGCGAUCGAUCGGACGGCCGCGCGGAGUGGGGCACGAACCCAAUUGAACUGACAGGCCAGCCUGGGCAAGCUCACCCCAUAUGACUUCCUCGCUUGCUGCUGCCGUGUGCUGGCACGCAGGGCGUGGCUUUACUCGCUCGGCGGGCCCGCGCGUCAGCGACGACUGCAUGCCGGCCCGCCCGUCGGCUACCUCCCCGGCUGGCGUAGCGGAAAGGAGGGGAAAAGCCUUGUCCGGUGGCAAUGGCGAGAGGGGGUGUUCAACAGGGGGCUAGUCGUGUUGUUGCUGAUGAGCACGCAGGGGAUGGGAUGGGGGUCGAGCAAACGAGAUCAAUGCGCGUGCGGAUAGAUAAGGAGUUUUCUUUUCCUUGGGGUUGUCGCUCACCUCGAGGCUGGGCGGGGCGGGGCGGCCCGAGCGAGGCAAUGUUGCAGUUGGCGCGCCGCCCAGCGAUCGUCGGGUUCGGGUCCUGCACCGCGCGCCGCGCCGCUUCCGGCUCCCGGAACGUCACCUGCGGGUAUCAGACACACACACGGCCGCCUCAGGAACACGCACGGAAAAAAGAAGGGGAGGUGGCGAUGGGUUCGGCUCGGCGGGGGGGGGGGGGGGGGGGGGGGGGGGGGGCGCUUACGAAUCCGUAGCCCUUGGAGCGGCCGGUGAGGCGGUCGGUGAUGACGACGGCCUCCAGGAUGUCGCCGUACCGCUCGAAGUGCUGCCGGAGCCCCUCCGAGGGCGUCUCCCACGCCAGCCCGCCCACGAACACCUUCGUCAGGGUCGUGUCGCCGAACCGCGACCGGUACGGCCGCGGCCCGCCGCCGCCGGCGCCCGGAGACGCGGCCGACGACGACGACGGAGCGGCCGCCAUCACGCGCGGCUCGCGGCGCGGACGAAGCCUCGACGCGGUGACCCGGCGAGCAGCGGAGCGCGGGAGCUAGCAGGCGCACGCGCCGGGAUGGGGGCCCGGGCUACUGUGCCUCGCGUUGCGGUUGCGCCGCGGCACGCCGCCGUGCGCUCGCUCUCCUGUGCGUGGCUGGUUUUGGAAGCGGACGAGUCCACCACUCCCAUAUAAAACCUCGCUGUGAUCGAGGUGGCUUAAUGAUCGUUGGAGAGGGGGAAUCUGAUGAUCAGGUGGGUUGGGGUUGGGGAGGAGAGAGAGACGGACAGACAGGUUGCAAGGGGUUUUGCGCUGGAGGGGACGGUUUGGAUGGGGGUGACAGCUAUGCUGACCCUUUUAUACCGUUUCUUUCCCCCUUUUCCCCCCUCAUCUCUUUGCUUUGUGUUUCCUCUUGUGUUUCGGUAGCUUUGAGAAUUUUCUACGACACUUAGGGAACCAUUUGAAGCGGGUUUUUUUUAUACUUUCAUGAAUCCUUUGUUUUUCUUGUAUUUUUUUACAUUUAUAUUUUUUGAGAAUUGAUAUAACUUUUCGGCAUGUUUUGAACAGUUUUCAUAUUGAAAAAUACGUGGUUUGAACCACAUUUUAUCUGAAAACAGCUAACGAGCUGAUAAUAAUGGCGAACUUUUGGCGGUUUGCAUCCAUUUGCUGCUAGUGUUUGCAAACUGCAUAAUUUUACUGGAGACAGCUAAUAAACAUGUACCGUGAUUUACUCUGGUGGUAGGUAGGCCUUAUAGCCGUUGAAUUUUGUAGUGAGUGUGAUGAAAGUAGUAUGUUCAAAAUUUCAUCAUGAGACAAUAAGUUAUCUAUCCUAUUAUGAGAAACUUGCCUACUAUCCCUCAUGUUUCAUCCUCAUCAACCUUACCUUCUGAACCAUAAAUCCAUAUUUUUCCACUUAUUAGCUUCUCCCUCUUCUCUCUUCUUCCCCAAAGUUCACCCUUGAUUAUGCUCAUCCACAUUUUUUUAUUCUACCUUUAUCAACCCACACACCUAUAUAAUGUUCCUUAGAUUUAUUAGUCAUGCAUCUCCAUGAGCCUCAAAUUAAAGCAGGCAUAAUGAUUACAAACAAAUGCUAGCUGUUGAGCAGAAUCAAACGAUUUAUCCUGGAAAUUGUCAAGCAUUUUGUUUGAUGGAUUUUAAAAAAACCAGUAUUUUCACUGGAAACAACUAAUAAGCUAAUAUCACUGACUUACUCUAACACUACUGAAUUUCACAUGACUGUUGAAAUUUUGCAUGAGAAAAAUGAGCUGGUGCCACUCAUAUUCCAUCUCAGCCGCAUAAGAACAAUUAUUCUAACCGUUGAGAGAAUAUCGAUGACUUACUCUGGCAGUUAAUGGGCAUUUUGUUUGCUAUAUUUUUCAAAACAUAUAUUUUCAUUGGAAACAACUAAUAGGCUGAUAUGACUUCCUUUGGGAGUUGGUAGGCCUUUAGGCCAUUGGAUUUCAAACAUAAGUGGUGAUGAUCAUAAAAUUUUACACCAGAAGAAUAAGCUACCUACCUAAAAUUUGGAAUACCAGUCAGGUGCUCUUCGUAUUCGAUCCUCAACUACGUCAACAUCCUAACUACCAAUCUAUCUUUCAAUGCUAUUCAAAUUUUCCGUCUCCAUGAUCUCUUCCGUAUUUUGUCAUUAUUCACCUCCAACCAGUCCACCUAUAUCUAUAAUGUUUCUUAUAGAGUUUUAUCUAUGUCAUCCAUAAUCUUCACAAGAAGUAGAAGCAAUUACUAUACACACCUAAGGCUAGAAGCACAACAUAUUGUACCUUUUAUGCUACCUCCUUUUUUCCUUCUUUUUUUGUGUUUUCAACUUGGAACAUGAAUAAAGGAUACCAAAAUGAAACACUCCUCACAUUCCCCCUUCAGUCACGUUGGCACACCCUAUUGAUAAACUUUGUUCAUUUUCUCUUCUUCAAAGUCCAUUCCCGUUAAGGUUGUCCUCUUCACAUGAUGGCAUUCUUGCUCUUAUAUAUUAUUAGUGUGUGCUCCCAACUUCUUCGUGGUCCUUAAAGAGCUCACGACCAUCUCUGGCUCCAUGAUCCUCCCAAGAAGUAGAAGCUAGCUAGAACUAGACCCACCUAAACCUAAUUGUUGACUAACACAUCUCGCUUCUAAUGUGGCUGGGUAGAAAAAUAAAAAAAAAUACAUGCCUUGGAUCCAUUUUCAAAAUUAUAAACACAUCUGUGGAAAGAUAGAACCACUAAAUUAAAAUUCAUUCAUAUGAUGAGUGAUAACUUUUUGGAGGACCUUGAAAGGUCCAUCCCAACAAAGAAGUAGAAUAAGGCUAUUACUUGUAAUAAUGCAGUAAUUGGUAGGUGUAAUAUGUGUUCCACAUGAUCAAAAUAAGUGCACCUUCAAGACACUACCGAGCACGUUGCAUGUCACUAAAAGAAUAGCACUAUUUAGUUCCGGAUUUAAUCUAGGGAAAUUCAAGCACUAUGCUAAGUCGAGAACUUGAACCCGGGGGAGCAGGUCCCACUGCAAAAGACCUAACCAGCUAAGUUAUGCUAAGAUGUUGACCCACAUAACCUAAUUUGAUGGGUCUAUCUAUUCAUACAUAGCUUAAAACAUAACUAUAUCUAGUCACAUCUAUCAACUAUUUGAUUCUCUCUUACCUACCUAUAAUGUUUCCACUCUGUUGCAUGCAGCUUGCCAUCACACUAAGGUUGAGUGAACCCAAUAUAUACCCUAAAAAUGUCGUUGAGCCCCAAUCUCACUGUUGUCAAUGAGAUUUGUCCUUUGAUAAAUAGUGGUGGUUGGAGCAUGAACCCUGCCAUAGUUGUAUGGUAAGCACGGAUGACUAACUUUUUCUUUAGAAGUGUAUGCUUUUCUCGUUCUAAUCGAGAAUACACAUAUUUUCUCUGUUCCAAAAUGUAAGACCAUUUAGUUUUAUCCUAAGUCGGCCUAUAGAAAAAAAUAUAUUAAAACAUUCUAUACCAAAUAAAUACAUAUUAUCAAGAUAGAUUCAUGAUGGAUUGGGAUUUCCCUUUUGCCCAGCCCUCUAUUCCUAAUUUGAUUUUGUAGAUGUUGGUGUAUUUUUAUAUAACUUAGUUAAAGUUAAAAUAUCUUACAUUCUAAAACAUAUUACUCAAUGUACCUGCUCUCUACAGCAGACAUAUUUUUUUGAACGAAUGGCAUGAGAGUGUGCCUAUUUCAUUGAUAGAGAAGAGGUUUUACAGAAGCAGAAAAAAACAGGUACAGUCUUAUUCUCGCACUAUUAAUUAAUGCCGCUAAUGGCCUCGCUCCUGCAGCGCUCCAAGCGGACACCUCCUCUUUAAUCUUCCCUAAAACAACAAUCAAGGAAGAUUCGUGUCGAUUAAAAAUUCUUGCGUUCUGCUCCUUCCAAAUCUCCCAAAUUAUCAACAUCGCUAAGCUAUGAAUGGCCUUGCGCGGCAGUUGUGUUGUUGUGGUGGUAUUGUUCCACCAUUCUAGUGUGUUGUUUGCGUGUCUCCAGGUCAAUAGCUUUAAGUGCGGCGCUCCAAUCCAUGUUGCCACUUGAUCCUAGAUCUUCCUCGUGAACCUACAUUCAGCUAGGAGGUGGAUGUUGGUUUCCAUUGUCUGUCUACAGUAGACAUGUUGAUCAUGCAAUCUUUCUUGUCAAAAAUAUAUAGUGCAUAUGCAUGGACAUUUGCAUAGAGUGCAGAACUAUUGAUCUACUUGGCAGAAACAUACAUUGAACAGUUCAUUUUGCUAAUUAGAUGCAAUAUACAUAGGCGCAUCGACAAAAUUAAAUAUAUAGGAACAAGUAUAGUUGAGGUCGUAAACCUGGUUAGAAAUAAGUUGGGUACGGACCACCACUAACAAUCGUUUACUUCGGGGAUAAGGCAAAACAAGAUGGUGAACUCCAUGGAAAAUACUUCAUCUAUUUCAGAUUGUAGGUCAUUUUACCUUUUUUUAGAUUUAUAGGUAUUAUUAUGCAUCUAGACAUACACUAAUGAAUCUAAAAAAGUUAAAACGACCAACAAUUUGGAACGGAGGAAGUACCGGUUAGUUUUGAGCAUAUAAAAUACCAAGGCCUCCUCGUUAGUUUUGUUGGUGCAAGUACGGAGAUGAAUAGAUAAUAACAAAUCAAAUGCUUAGGUUACAUUGGUGAAUCCAAGCUGGCAACUGCUACGAAAGAAUGAAUCUUACGAUAACUUAGUUCGGAAGCUUAGCAUUUGGAUUCUGCGUACCCGCCGCAUCCUUACAUUCAGUGCAACUUUGUCAACUCAUGCAUGAAAAAAAAAAUAGCGGUGCUGCAAUCUCACCGGCACGGCUGACUCGUUGAACUAGUAGCAUCCUACUCGUUAACUUUGUAAGCACGUAUCUAGGGAACUAGAAACAUUGGACAUGUACACACAUAGCCUCACGUUAUGAUUGGUCUCGGUCCCACCUGUCAAGGAAACGUGUGUCGUAAAUUCCUAAGAAGUGUACGUGCUCUUGAGAUGUCUACAUCGUCCCACCUGUCCAUGACACCUCUCGAUAAGAAUGACUUUGCUUAACGUGUGCAUAUUACAUUGUAUGUCUCCUGUAUGCAUCUUCGAAGAAAUUAAUUUAAAAGAAAUGCAUCUUCGUCUUUGUCUUUGAGACUACUCUGUUGUGCUACACCCUCCGAUCAUUUGCAGACGCCAUUCUGGAAAAACUAGGGGCAGCUCGUCCCAUUGAAACGCAUUUGCUCGUAACUUUCGAAGACAUUUCCAUGCAUAGACACGCCCACACGCUGUUCUUUGCAUUUCCCAUCCGGGAUGUGACGUUGGGGCAACUACUAUUGAUAGCUGAAAUUUCACACGGGUAGCUAGCUAUAUGCGCGUGUGGAUCGUGUCACACUUUCUUUGAGGGUAUAGCAAAUGGCAAAGCCCAAGGUGAAGUCCGACACAAAUCGUUCUUGGGUGAUUCUACUGUCCCGGCUGCCUUCUUUACGUGAUGCAGUUUGUGUCAGCUAGGUACAGACAGGUAUAUGACUUAAGAGCAAAAUCGAUCGUCAACUGGUGGAUUGAAGUGACCAUAUGCAUGCAUGCUGUGUACCGGUGGCUAGCUGCACCUAGCAUGUACCGUAGAAAGCGAUAAAAAAGAUCCUCGCAUGCUCCCGGAUCCUUUGUUAUGAUAUGACAGUGACUGGCCUCGCAGAGAAGUUCGCGUUUGCUCCCAUCGUAAAAAGAUCUUUCUCCGCGGCAUUAGCAAAUAAAAUGUUUGGCAUGCGACGGUACCAUGGGCCCAAAACAUUACUAGCCCAUAACAAUAGUUCUUCGUUGAUCCGGUUGCCUGCCUGGGCUGGCUGAUGGCCAUUAGUGGGCCGAAGGUUCGCUCCUUCCCCCCUUUUUUGGACCCUCUACUCUACUUUUUCUAGCAAACUACUCCACCCACCUGCACCGUACACAACUCCUCAACUCGAGGGCUGUUCGGUUGUGCUUCUUUUAAGCCACUGCAAGCUGUGGCUAUUUUGCAGCUGAAGCCAGCAAGCAGCAGCUCAGCUACUUGGGCUUGCACCUGCAGCUUCAGCCGCUGCAAAGUAGCACAAACGAACAACCCCUCGAUCGUCGUCGCCAUUCUGUCGCACACAAGUUGCAAAGCGGCUGCAAUUCUUAUUCAUGGACGACGUCUCCGUAGAAUUUUCGGGGUCUACCUCUUUGGUGUUUUGGUCGUGAUGCGUGGAUGGAAGGCGAGUGCUAGCUAGUACGUGACAGAGAUAUUUGCUCUCGCUAAAUACAGAAGGGAGUUAUAGUUCGUUAUGCAUACAGUAGGUGUCACAUCUGACAGUGGAAUCAAAUCCCUCGAAUAUACGGAUUUGGCACUUAAUGCUGUCUUAGAGUCCGAUUUGGUACUUGCUACUUGGCGCCGCCGUUCUUGAUCGUAUCCAACGCUAAGAUUAGGUGAUGUGCAGUUGAUCGUACUCCGAUCGAGAUGACGGUUUAGACGGCGAUAAGGACUAAGGAGAGGCCGAGCCCCAAGAUUAACUCGCCCGAAGAACGUUCUACGGUCAGCAGCAGAAGAGGCGAUAAAGCAAUUGAUAUCCUUGCAAAAGGGUGCGUGUGGUGUAGAAAAGAAAGAAAACGAUCGAUACCCAUGAGCAUGACAGGAUGGGAGUAUGGGACAUGCACUGAUAGAAGAAGCGCUGAUCCGAUGGUUCAGUAUGGAACAACAUACUGUCACGUACUAGUAAGUUUUUAUUGUAAUCGAAAUUACACGUACGAGCAAUCAUUCACGGGUUUGAUUUGUCUAUUCUGAACAUGCUUUCUGCAGUGAUGUCUACUUUUACAGUUUUACUCCCCUCAUCCGUGCCUUGCAAUAAUGUCACGAGCUGUCUACUUGUUGCUAAAGCUCAACAAGCAAAACCUCGUGGAGUCGUGGUGCAUGAAUCCUAAGAAACUAGGAAUCUGUUUAACAUGUGCAGAAAGGAAAAGAGACCAAGGUCACGUUACCACCAAACUGAUCACCAUCUCAGGGUCUUUAAGCACCUUGCACUGUCAUGUGAACCUUGCUAGCUGCUACUGGCAAUACUCAAGGAGUAGUCCAAACUCCAAAGUCCCCAAACCAUCCCUAGCUACUACCGUCUACCAUCAUCGCCCUCACGACAGGACCCGCGCUGAGAGCGAAAACCCCAUGUCCCCAUGCGCAUCGUCCCCUUCCGCUACAACUUGGGAGGCCCGGGAGCUGAAUUUUUGUUCCCUUCCAAACUUAGUCGAACAAGUGUCUAAUAAAAUUUAUAUUUGAACAAAUUUUCUUAAAACCUAUGCGAAUACGUACAACGGAGAACUUAAUUAUGGAGUUCUUUAUUUCAAAAACUGAUUGAAAGAAACUGCCGUCAAUAGUUUUCGAUCGAAACUAAAAAUUCUCAGAGGAAAAAACCUUUUUCAUAAAAAUAAAAAACACUAAAAGGUGGGGGGCGGACCCACAGGAAGCUUCCUGGUGCCUGCUACCUUAGCAAGUUCUGUACGUGUGCCGAUCGUGAUGCAUGGCUAGGCUACUAGUCCAUAUCCUGGGGCGGAAGCCUCUCGAUCGAUGGGAUCAUGGAUGGAUAUGCACACGGAUAUGGAUACACUUCAUGCUUCGCGUAUCUUUGUGCCAUGAACACGAUGCAUUCCAUCGAGAUAUCUCUAACCUUUUCGCCUAAAAACUGUCGCGUCGAGCGUCUUCCAUGCACGGAGACGACAAAAAGCGUCCUAUACCGGUACACCGGCGCACGUUCGCUUUCGUGCCCCUGGUGAACAUCGUGUCCUGCGUGCGUAGCACAGCUUGCGCGAUGUCCGAACAGAAGCGGCCGUGCCCGUCCCACUCCGCCGGAGCCCGCCCGACCGCGACGCCGCAACCAACUGGAUCGAGGCGCCCGGGGAGACGGCAAGACGCGGCGCGCUCCGUGUCACACGCUGAAUGGGCACCCGCGUAUAAAAGCGACGCCACGGCGCGGCGAGUUGCUCGUGGCAAUUAUCCUCUUAGCUCUCGCACACGCACAACCACACGCCGCUCGCCUAGCUCUUCCAUAAAAGACGACGGCGAUCGCGCGUUGCUGGGGAGCUCGUCAGAGCACGGCCGGUGAUCGCGGAAGAAUAGUCGAGAGCUGCUCGGCGUCGGUGGUGGUGCGCGCGCGCGGGGGGAUCGUUGAUCGAUGGCUAGGGAAGCGGAGGCGGCGCUGCGGCCGUUCGUCCAGGCGGCGGGCGGCGACGGGGAGUUCAUCUCGGGCGGGCCGGCGGCGACGGCGUUCCUCGCCACGGAUAGGACGGAUCGGCCGGUGGACCCGGUGAUCUGGGGCGACGAGAAGCGGAUGAAGCGGGAGCUCGUGGCGUGGGCCAAGGCCGUGGCGUCCAUGUCGGCCGGCAAGAACACCUCCUGCUCCUCCACGCCAUCGUCGACGCCGUCGCCAUCCAUGAGACGAGGCAGGGUAUAGUGUGCCGAUUCUGGUGGGCACGGUAUCGCUGGGGCAACAACCACCCUCGAUUCUUCUUCCACUUCAAUUCGCUUGACAGCACAUCUUGUCAUAGUUGUUGCCCAAUAUGCUGAUUUCUCUCCAUAAAAGGAGCUCUUGAUGUACAGUAAGUAUUGAGGUAUUGUAUAGGAGGAUGAUCUUGUGGCAACUGCCAAAUGU
rnacentral:lncRNA from 1 species